UGAUUCUACAAAUGUAUCUGAGUUCCGACCUUCAUUGAGAUUAUCAUCACAUCCCUCUGUGUUGAGAAUCUGAAGACCUGAGCAAAAUCGUUUUCGGGAACCCAAGCUAGAAGAAUCGUCAAUAUCAUAAAUGUUCAGGGGAGGGAGAUUUGAUGCUAAAUGAUCACCCUCUCCUCUUUCUUUACAUGUGCUUCCCUUUUUCUUAAGAAAAGUUUGAUGCUUUGUGACUUCUUCAAUAUCAGAACAUAGAAGAGAAACAGUACCUUGCAACUUAUUAGCUGCAUCCUGCUUUCUUUGUUGCAUUGGUAAAAGGAAUUCCAGCAACAAUUCCUGCUCCUCUAUUCUCUCUCUAAGCUGUAUUGCUGCUUCACGCUCUUCCAAAUAGUCUCUUGGUUCAUUAAGAAACUCGCUUUGCAGCAAUUCUCUGUCAUACAAUACAUGAGAGUAAGACAAUGAAAAUUUGAUUGAACAGAAAUCAGAUGAAAUGUCAAUCAAAAAAGGUACUUUGCUCAGGGUGCAGUAACCAUAAGCACACAAUGUACUUGUUUGAAGACCUCGAAAAAACUCAUCCACAUAUUAAGGCAGAUGCUACCAUAAAAUGUAAAGUAAACAAAGGUGCAGGAAAUUAACAUUCACCCCAUUUUUGGCCGACUACUUGGCUCAGGGUGCAGUAACCAUAAGCAAAAUGAAGCUUCUUUUGGCCACUUGAGCAGCAAUUGAGGAGGAAGAACCCGAUGUCUGAGACUAGACAUAGUUCUGCUCUUGUCUUCCCUUGAAGUGAAUGGGCUGAACAGCUGUUCACAAGUAGAACUAUAUCACAUCAAUGUAGACAGUAAACAGCAGAAGCUCUUAAGACAUUAUUGCAGGCCAUUUAGAUAAUGAAGAACUUUCUGCUUGAAAUAGAAGUCAAAAGUUCAAAACACAUAUAAGAAAUGGUUUUGAAUCCACUCUAAUUUUGAUCGUUAACAUCAUAAAUGCAACAUUAUCAUUACGAACCUCGAAAAGAAGAACUCCCAAUUGGUAGAUGUCUGAAGCACAAGAGCUUGGUGAACCAGCAACCUCUUCAGGGCUGGUAUACCAACUGGACUCCAUCAGCAAUAUUUGCUUCAUUGGAAAUGGUUGUUUCCUUUCUUCUUCAUGUUCAACGUUCCUCGUACCAAGGACUUUAUUUUCUUCUGUUUCUUCCCCUAAUGGUAAAUCUGCUGCAUAAAGCGAGCUGGACUGCAUGCAACUGGCUUCCGAUAAAGCAUUUGUUGGAGUAGAUGCAGGUAGAAAAUCUUCACUUUGUAACCUACUUCUCUGCUGGCACAUGUCAUGGGAGAAAGAAGAAGCAUUUUUAACCUCCACAGUUUGUCUAUUCAAUCCAUCAUCCAAAGAAUCAGACCCAGAAUCCGAGUAAGAAGCGGACUCGAUGAAGGAGACAUGGUUAAAUGAUGACAUGACAAAGCAAGAAGGCCGGACAUUGUGAACAACAAUUCCCUGUGAAUGUGCCACAUUUACAAUUUCGACUAUUUGCCUAAAUAUGUGCAAACAUUCAAAUUCAUCAACAGACCGUUCUGGUUUGUUCAACCAAUGCCUCAAGCUAACAUCGUUCCACUCCAUGUUUUGGACAAAAUGGUCAACUGCAGCUUCAUCCUCACAAACCCCAGAUAAAGUACCAGCCUGGUUUUUUAGGUUUUGACGAGCCAGAACAACCCUAUCAGUCUCCUUUCUAAACCCAGAGUUGUAAGAUGCGGAUCUUAGAUUCCUGUUGGUGACUACUGAAGUAUUAAAUCCCCUAUAACUACCAGACUUCUGCCAAGCAGACUCAGAUGAGCCCUCCAUGGUUACCCCCCUUGGGCUGCAUGUAAGCCAGAACAAACGCAUCCAAGAAAUGGAGGAAUUCGCCUGCUACUACCACAUUCGCUAACUUCCACCAUUACCAUCUUCAAUCAAUACCUUAUUUCACAGAAAUAGCAAAAAGAACCUUGCUUCUGAUCAAGCCAAAGCUCAAUAACUCAGCUCCUCGAAUAAAAAUACUAACCCUUGCAGGGCAGCGGACACUAGAAAAUAAGAUGAAAUCUUUUAGCAAGCACACUUCUCCUGAGACAACCGCAACCAGCCUAACAUCAAUAAACCAAUAAGAAAAUUUAAAAAAAGUAGAGAAAAAUCAACACUUACAUUAUACCACACACAUUUUUCCUUUCCUUUCUUCAUCCACCGGAAUUAUAAAACUAAGUCCUCACACGUGCACUGUUCAACACCAAAACAACACAAGCACCAGCACAAAAAAAAAAAUCAAAGACAAGUACAAUAAUAUCCAGAAAAGGAGAGAAACUGAAGAUACCCUUUUUACAAUAUAGAAUUAGAAACACGUACCCAGAGGUUUCAUCAAAAAAACAACACAUGCAUCAGAACCAACAAAAGCCCACACACAAUAAUAUUAUAUACAGCCAUUUAAAAGAAGAGCUAGAGAGAAGGAGGGAGGGAUAAGUACCUGUAGCAGCACCAAGAAUGGAUAUUUCUGAUCCUGCUAGACCAAAAGAGAACCACACAACACAACAAGACUUUAGUUACUACACUCCACUAAACACUACAGCCUCAUAAAUUCCCUCAUUUUUCCCUCACAACUUCAAAAAUAAAAUCAAACAAAACCCCUCCACAAAAGAAAAAAUCAACAUGUUUCAAAUAAAAAAAGGAAAAAAAUACCUCUCUCUCUCUCUCUCUCUCUCAUGCUCUGUUUCACUCUAUAUAUUAUAUAGUUCUUCAUGAAAUUAUUAUGAUAUUCUUUCUUUUUUAAGCCACAAGCUCAUGGUUCGCUCUUUGGCUCAUCUCCCCGCUUUAUUCCAUUUGAGUUACGUGGCACCACCAUAGCCUCAACCUUGUUUGUUUAUUUCUUUGCAAAGAAGCCAAAAGGGAUGGUAAAUUUGAAAACUUUGUGGGCCAUCAGUGCCAAAAAAAAAAAAAAACUGUUCUUGAUGAAAAUAAAGAUCUUGGCUUUCUAGAAUUGGAAACUCAAGGUGAGAACAUGAAAAGCAAAUAAGAGCAUGCCUUACAGGUGUGAAUCAUUAAACUAAUCUGAUGAUGUGAUUCUUGUUAGAACAGCACGUAAGAAACAAUUAAGAAUACUAUAGUGGGCAGUUCUUGUUUCUUUAAUCCGAUUAGUGACACUAAAAAUAAUAUUUUACAAGAAACACUCACAUGAUAAAAAAGAAGCUAAUAAACUAUUGAUUAAUGUAAUGAAGCACAAACAAUGAAGCUAAAAAAAACAAAUAAUGGUGAUAAAAUCAACCUUAAAAUGUGGGUUUGAGUUUUGUGGGGCCCGGGCAUAAAAGUAUACAAGGAAGGAAGGGAAGAGGAUAAUAAUAAUAAUAAUUAAGGAUUGAUAAGAGAGGAUGUGGACUAGUGUCAGGUAGGACUAAUUAUUUUUGGUUUGGUUCGGUUUUUAUCUAUAAAAAUCAAUCAAAUCAUAAAAAAAUAGACCUGGAAUCAAACCGAAACCGGCCCAAACCGACCGGUUUCGAUUUGAUUUUUGCUAGCCAAAACCAAAAAACCUAUGUUAUUUUUUGGCUUUGUAAUGAGCUUCGUAAUUGGUUUUUAACGGAUUUCUGAUGGGCUUGCAAUUAAUGUUGAUAUUGUCUAAUUUUCAUUGAAGAUUCAAAAGCAUAUUUAAUUUUUUUACCACUAAAUAUUAAUUUGUAUUAAAUUGUUAUUGUCAAUCUUAUGUAUAUUGAGUUUUUUUACCACUGAAUAUUCAUUUAUAUGAAAUUAUUAAUGUCAAUCUUGUGUUCAAUAUAUUUUUUACCUUCCUAAUAUUUUUAUGCUUCUGAAAAGUUUAAAUAACACACUCACAAUCACACACCAAUAAGUUAAAAUUCAAAUUACAAAUCAUUGCCUUUAAAGGGCUUAAAGAAAAAAUAACAAAUAAAACUAUCAUAAAACACUCCAAGCCAAAAAAAAAAAAAUCUUCAUUUGCACAUCGUCUCAAUAAAAAAAAACUUCAAGACCAUUGCAUUUUGAUUCCUGAAAUUCAUAAUCUAGAAUUAUAACAUGAUAAAUUAAAUUAGAAAAUAAAAAAAAUAAUAUUUUUACCAUAUGUUUUCAAUAAAUGCAUCACAAUUUGUGAACUAAUUAUCAUCCGUUGCUAGAUGUAACUUUCCAUCAAAUUCUACAAAAUAAAAAAUUAAACAUGUUAGAAUAAAAAUGUGUUAAUUAUUAAUAAAUCAUAAAACAAAAGAUGUAAGUUUUUAAAAAACAUUACCUGAUCCAAGGUUUUUGUAGGUUUCAAAAUCAUUCAUCAAGGUUGUAUUAUCAAUUGGAAUUGGACCAUGAUGCAACCAAUUUUGACAACAAAUAAGUGUUUGAACUGUUGCUAGAGAUAGAGAACUUCGAAAUUGGUUGAGUAUACGACCACCUGUGCUAAAGGCUGAUUUAGAAGCCACUAUGGAUAUAAAAAUAGCCAGAACAUGUUGUGCAACUUUUGAAAGUAUCUUAUAUUUUGAAGAAACAUUAAUCUUCCACUAACCUAAAAUAUCUAAUUUAUCAUUAUUAGGAUCCUCACAACCAUCAACCAAAUACGUCUCAACCUCAUUUCUAUUUUUCACACUAUCUUCCUCCUGUAAGUGCCUUUUGAAUCGAGGUAAAGUGUUAACAUCUACCUCCACAUCAUCAAUAGCAUCAUUAACAUCUUAUUUAUGCCUAUUAUCAUCCACCACUUCAUCAGCUUUCAAAUAAAACUCAUACAAGCUCACCAAAUUAUCUUUCAUUUUUUUUUGUUAGCAAUUGUGCUUUGUUAUAAUCAUACAACUCACCAAAAAAAAAUUUCACAUAUGUUAACUUAAGACGUGGAUCCAAAACAUUAGCCACAUACAAUAAAAAAUUUUGAUUUGCUUCACAACCCCAAUACUUCUCAAACUUACUCAUCAUGUUCAUCGUCAUUCCACUCAAAAGAUUAUCUCUACUUUUACAUAAUUGCAACAAGUUUGUAUGCAUGUAAAUCAAUUCAUUGAAGAAUGAAUUUGAUGUGACAUGCAAUGAGCCAGAAAAUUUCAAUGUAAUCAUGUAAAAGAUCUUUAAAAACUUCAGCAAAGUUCUAACAUUUUUCCAAUCCUCCAAACUAGGUGGUCCUAUGUUUUUUUUAUUCUCCUUUGAAUCAACCUCCAAAAAGUAACUCAUAUACAUAGGUUCACUUUGACCUAACCUCACAAACACCUUUUCAAACUUUUCAGCAGCUUCUAGCAUAAGAUAAGUUGAAUUCCAUCGAGUUGCAACAUCCAAAUACAAUGAUUUCUUACACUCUAUAUGCAACUUUUCUGCACACUUCUUAAAUGCAAGUAGCCUAGAAGAUAAAGAUCUCACAAACCUAAUUGCAUUUCGAAUCUUAACAACCAAAACAUCAAUCUCUUUCAAACCAUCACACACAAUGAGGUUUACAAUGUGUGCACAACAUCUAACAUGCAAAUGUUCAUUUGACAAUAUAUUAGUUAGCCAAUCUUUCAUCACAUUCUUUAAAUAUAAAAUAGUAACACUAUUAGAGCUUACAUUGUCUACUGUAACAGUUAAAAGUUUAUCAAUCCCCCAAUCUAACAAACAAUUCUCAAUAACUUGACCAAUUGUUUCACUCAUAUGAUUGGAAACUUGACAAAAAUUCAGAAUUUUUUUAUGCAAAUUCCACUCACUAUCAAUCCAAUGAGUCGUUAAGGACAUAUAGUUAAUGUUUUGGAUUGAUGUCCAUGUAUAUGUUGUUAAGCAUAAUCGUUGACCCUUAAGAGCUCUCUUUAAUCUUUCCUUCUCUUCAACAUAAAGUUUUAAAUAAUCUCUCAUAAUAGUGAAACGAGAAGGAAUGUCAAAUCUAGGCUGCAAGGUCCUAAAAAAUAAUCUAAAUCCCUUACCCUCAACAAAAUUAAAAGGCAACUCAUCAAUUAUAACCAUUUUUACUAGUGCAUGUCUACAUUUAUCAUAAUCAUAACCUAUUGCCUUAAGAGUUCCCACACUUCGAUCUCCUGAUUCACCCCCCGCUUUAUUAGGUUCUAAUACCAAAAGUUUUUGCUUCUUAUCAACCACAAAAGGAAACUUUUUGUAUACUUUUAAAUGACUCCGCAUAUUACUUGUCCCAUUAAUAAUAGUAUGACAUGCAUAACCCUUUUCACAAUAAUUACAUUCAGCUCUAGGGAUUGUAGGAUCACCAUCAAGUUUGGUAAAAUGAUAUGCUUGGCAAUCAGACUAUAGUUUACCUCACCCCCACUCCCAUCAAAAUUCAAAUGAGAAGCAUGUUAUUCUGCAUAUGAUCUGCUUGGAAAACCGUAAAUAGAAGUGUUACCCCUGUUCAGGGAGCUAUUGCUACAUCAUACAACAUGUUUACUAUUUGCUAAGGAGCUUCACCAUUUAAAAAAAAAACAGUAAAACCUAUAUCAUCCAUUCAUUUCAGAAGCAGUGGAAUGGUAAGUGAUAUUAUCACACUACAAACCAGAACUAGGGCAUAAAACCAACACAGAUAAACAUAAAAAGGAAAUCUCAAAACUGAUAAAAAAAAUACUAAAUGAAUAACAUAAAAAAAAGCUGACCAAAAACUGGUAGAUGAUAUGGAAAAUGGAAAUGCAAGUUUUAGCUGCUAGAUUUCUAUGUUAUACUUAUUUCAGGUUUUAACUUAUAAUCAUAGGUUCUUUAGACAGCAGGUACAAAUUGUCGAAAAAGGUGUUUGACUCAUUUUUUAUUUUCUAUCAAUUCUUAAAAUUUGUGUCCAAGCUAAUUGACAGCUUCUGUAGAGCUUAUUUGAGUUAUUUUUGUUUUCAUUUUUUGCAGAUUAUGUUUUAUGAAGCCUUGAAAGAUUUGGCAGGUUAUCUUAAAGACUUAAACAUCAUUUUUCUUGUGAUGAAACUAAUUUCGUUCACAGAAUCACAGUAAUAAUAGCCAUGAGGAGACACAACACUAAGCAGGCAUGAAUAAACAUUGAACAUAAAAAAAAACCAAUACUAAAUACGGAUGAUUAUACACUAUCAAUAAUUAAAUAGAAAUUCCUAACAAAUUAGUAAAGCAAUUUGAUAAUCAGUAAUUUCAACAAUUUUUUUUUUCUAACAAUAUUGAAUCAAAGAAGGUCAGUAAUCAGUAUCCAAAUUAACUUGAAUAAUCUAAAAAACACAUGAAUAAAUUCUGACAUAUAUGAAACAACAAGCAGAAUGCCUUCAACAGAAUCAGCACAACAACUGUAUCCUUAUUCUUUGACCUCUACAUUGAAAAAAAAAACAAAUACAAUAAAUUAAAUAGAUGAUAAACAGAUAAAUCUAGGCAAAAUAUGAGCAGCCAUUAGUUAAUUAAUUAAAACGGAAAAAACAAAAUUAAAACUCACUGCUAUAGAACUUAUUCGGUUUCGGAGUAAUGGAGAUUGUGGAGUACCAUGUGAUAUUGUGUAGAUGAAGAGGAACGUCAAUCUAUUUAUGAGAGGCUUGACUGGUUUCAAAUGAUGGAAACACAAACUAUUUUGGAUCUGUGUAACCGUGUUUCUAUUUUCUAAGUCUAAAGAGACUAAAAAGGGAGAGGCGAGAGGGUGCGGGUGCUCUGGUUAGGGUUAGUGGCCAGGGAGAGGGGAGACGGUGAGGGCGAGGGAGAGUGUUACUAUGUUAGGGAAUUAGGGUUAGCGGAGAGAGGCGAGAGUGGCAUCGUUUUCUAUUUAUAUCGUCAACACAAAACACUGGUUAGAGACCUUUUUUUGAACCGGUUCGGUUCGGUCCGGGUUAACCGAUUCCUGCAUUACAAAACCGAACCGAAUCGGGAUUUUUUCUAACUAUUCUAAUCGGUUUAAUCAGUUUUUUUUCUCGGUUCGGUUUUUUUUUGCUCGGUUUAUUCGAUUUUCUGUUUUUUUUGCACACCUCUAGUGUCAGGUAAUCUAAAAGGAUGUUCGGCGCAGUUUUUGUUUUUAAAUGUUUUUAAAAAAACAAUUUAUUCAAAAAAAUAUUAAAUUAAUAUUUUUUAAUGUAUUAAUAAAAAAAUAAAAAUAAAAAUAUUUUAAUAAAUUUUCAAAAUAAAAUUAUUUUAAAAAAUACAUUACAUACCCAUCUCAAUUUGAUGUAAAAUUAGGAGCAAGCGAUUUUUUUAUUUUUUUUUUCAAUGUAAAAUUAGGAGCAUGCGAUCCUUCCUCAUAACAAUUAACAGUGGUAAUGUUUGUGGUCCCUACAUCUGGCGGCUAUUAGCACGAUACUAACCAAGUACUCGAAUUCGCUGCUGGGAGGAUUCCAUUCCAAUAACAUGCAAACAUUAUGAAUGCAUUUUCUAGAAUAAUUAAAAAAACAAAUUAGAAAUUAAGAAGUUAAUAUAUGCGACGAAUCACUUUUUUAUCGGUAUAUUUUUAUUAAAAAAUUUCGGAUAAAAAAUAAUUACAAAUAUAAUUUUUUAGGAAAACAAAGCUUGGCAUAAAUAAAUUCAGGAAAAAAGUUAUCAAUGUGAAAAUAAAAUUAAGAAGAAAAGUUAUAAUUAUAAUUGUUAAUAUAAAUUCAUUUUUUUUCUAUUAAUGCAUUUUUAAAAAAAUAUUUUUUUUUUGUUAUAUAUAUAUUGUUUAUUGCAUACAAACUGCAAGCAAUUAAAUUCAAUAUUUAAAAAAUAUUAAUGAUUUAAAAAAAUAUAUUAAAAAAAAUCUUUUUAAUAUUGCAUGGAAAGUGAAAGCAAUUAAAUUCAAUAUUUAAAAAAAAAUAUUUUAAUCAAAAUCUCUUUCCAUUAAAAGAUUUAAUGAUUUAAAAAAAAGACUUCUUUUUUACAAAUUUUUUUUAUAAGAAGUAAUGUUUUUUAAAUAAGAACUUAUUAUAAUCUUAAUAAUAAGUGUUAAUAAAAAAUAAUAAAUUUAUAAUUUUGACAUGAAUGUAUUAAAAAAUAAUAAUAAUAAUAAUAAUAAUAACAAACUUGAAAACAUAUAUAAAACAAAUAGAUAUUUCAUUUAUAUUUAGAAAAUCAUGCACAUUAAAUUUAUAUAUAAUUAUUCUGAGAUAAAUUAUUAAUAUUAUAAUAUAAUAUACUAAUAUUAUUUGAAAAUAAUGAUAUAAUUGGAUUAUUAUUUAAACAUCAUUUAAAUAAAUUUAUUUUAAAAUAAUCUAAUUAUAAAAUGCUAAAAGAGAUAAAAAAAAUACAAGGCUAAGCAAGCACGGGCUAGAAGAAUAAGCCUACAUGUUCGGCCUACAUGAAAACCUAUAGGUUCUGGGGUCUAGAAACUCAAGUUCGCAUGUCUGAUUUUUCUAAAAAAAAACACGAUGUUCACUUUUAUUUUUAAAAAAUUAGACAAAAAAUAUGUUUUUUGACAGUCAAAUUACACAUUAUUUGUCUACUAUUUUUUCUAGUCAUAAAAAAUGUCUUCGUGAUUGAAAAAUUAGGAUUCAAAAACUUGAACCCCAAAAACCUAGAAUCCAACCAUUUUCCAUCCAAAAAUAUAAAGAAAAAAAAACAUUUAAUGAACCUCCAUUACCUCGAUUUUAAUAAUAAAAUAUAUUUUAAUUAGUUUAAAAAUUCUAAAUUAAAUCAAAUUAAAAAAAAAAAACUCAUGCACUGAAAAUGGCCACGCUUCUUAGGGUUUGGACUAGGAUUUGAGACUCAUGGUUUCUUGUUGGUCCACUUUGAGUAUGAGUUCUCAUAUUUUGUAGCUUCCCUUCCCUUGAACAUUCAUUCUUGGUAAAACAUGUCAUGAAUUUAUAUAAUAAAAACAAUUUUUAUUUUUUAUUUUAUUUUUUAUCUGUCACGUAACUAAGUUUCAUCCUCUUUCUCGUCUCGUCCGUUCACCAAACGCCUCCAUGGUUAUUUCCAUGAUCAAUAAUCCAUUGUCUUUUAAACAACCAUUAAUUUUAUUUGUGGUGGGCAGUUACUGCUAAACAUUCAGUGAACUUGAAAUGUGUUUUCAAGUUUAAGUUUAUUUAGGCCGUCUCUGGACCACUGGUCCACCUUCCUAAAUAUAGACCAAAUUAACAUGAUGUGAAGAACAGAUCCCAUUGUGAACAUGAUAAUCAAAUCCACUUUGAAGGUCCCCCUCAAAGUUUUGUGAUUUUCGAUAAGAUUCCCAGUAGAUGCACAGAAACCCAGAAACCCACAUACAUUUCAUCAAGAAAUACCUUAGAAAGGUCUAGAGGAACAUUAAUCAGUGGCCUCACUGUGUGUGUGUGUGAAGGAGCCAUGGUUACGCUCAACUCUUGGAAAGACCAAUUAGUCUUGCUUCGAUCGUUCUUUGCAUAAGACCAAUAUCCGGCUUCCUUGGCAACCAAAGAAGAGAGUGCGCGUUCAUGACAUGUUUAUCAUUAAUAUCAUUGAAUUCUUGAACGUCGAAUUCAAUGCCUAAAACAUGGUUGUUGGGGGUAACCAUCAUUGGUGCUGUUCAAGAAACCAAGAUGCCGUUGUCAAGAGGCACCUUCAAUACCUAGAGAAGGCACGAGAAUGAAUGCAAAACCAUGACCAGGGGGGGAAUUGUUGUAAGGGGUGAUGGAGAAGGUGAAAGAGGACGAGAAUGACAGGAGCUUUGAGGAGUUCGGGUAUCUUAUGGGAAUCCUUGUAGAGGCCUCUACCACCAGAAAAUGUGAUGUCUCCGGUGAGGGAAAGCGUGCCAGAUUGUAGCUCUGCAGUGCCAUAAAGUAACAAGCUCGAAGAGCUGAAACUGUAACUCGACUGCUAUUGUAAAUUGGAGAAAGGAGUUAUUUAAGAAGAAUAGUAGCACAUGGUGGAGCCCGAAGCUUCAAGAACUGGGUUCGUUACUGUCAAGUGCCAUCCAUCACCGGUCUUGUAAUUGCAACUUAGUGCAUGCACCUCCUUGUUUUGGAAGGAUAAUAACGCACUCAGCAGAUACUCUACAUCUUGGGUAUGGUGGAUGCAACAUUUGUCUUUCCACACCGUGGAAUAAUUUCACAUCAUCCAGAUACUCUACAUCUUAUGGCUAAUACAAAUGCUCUCCAAGAAUGGUCAAUAAUUUUGAGAUUGCAGUGAUAGUGGAAAGUAAAUACAUGUGAUAAAUUGCAGAGGGGAGAUUUAUCAGUGAGCUAUAAUCUUGUAGCUAAAAUGGCCACUAGCUAUCUUUCUAAGAACAUAUACAAAAACCCCAACCAACGGUUUUUAACUCAUAUUUCACAUAAGGAAACCACCAAUCAAAUUACUCUUAAGAGUCCCAGCAAUACUUCUCAUGUGGGGCUUACCUCAUCGACCUGAAACAAAUAAUGAAUUGGCUGAUAUUUGGUAGCUUUCAGCCUGGACUUUUCUAACCCUUGCCUUGUCAAAGCGUGCUCGUCUAACAGCUUCUUGGAUCUGGCGAUCAUGAUCCUUCAGCAUCUGAUCCAUGUUCCCCGAUGGAACUAUCAAUGGACCAGAAUAGUGGAUUUUGUGAGCCUUUGACCCAUAGCCAAGCUGGAUCCAAAUUAACAAGAACCAUGAAUCAGGAAACACACAAAAAAAAGGCUCCUCAGAAUUCAGGAAACAUGAAAUUGUAAAUCAAUCAACUUAGAAAAGACGGUUUAUAAACAACUUGCAUGAUAUGAUGCAGACCAGGACAAAGCAGCCAAGUGGUUAAAAAAUUCACUGAAAGGUUAAGCAAAAAAGCAAAAAAAAAUAAACAAACAACGAAAUAAAAGAAAACUGAAUUGUGAAGUGACUUACAAGGACAGGAUCUUUACUGUUAUUUCUCCCAUCUUCCUUUUGGUGGGAACCUGCAACACCCUGUGACAGACGCUGUGGAUCCUGUUGGGCAAAGGAUUCUGAGGUUUCCUUGAAGGAUCCUGGAAACCGUGCCAUUAGUUUUGGAACUUCCGGUUGUGAUAGGCCAGACCUUUCUCUGUGAUCUUCAGAUAAUAAACUCCUCCGCGCCGCCUCUAAGCUUGAAAUUGUUGACAGGUCAGCCCCCGUGUAAAUCUUAGGAGCAUCAUCGGGGUUUCUGCCAGCCUUUGCCCAUCCAGAACGGUGAGACAGUGGCCCAGAAUGUGAGGCUCUCUUAUGCUGAUGACCCUGAGGAUCCAUGUUUGAUUCUGCAGCUUGUGAUGGUCUAGGGGGAUCAAUUGGAAAGCCAGAAGCAACUUCCUCAGGAUGGGGAUUAAACUUCUCACUCCGGCUCUUGGAAUUUGGACGACCAUGUCUUUUCUGUAAUUAGAGCGCAAUCCAUUGAUAUAAAUUUCAUUAGUAAAAUCAAAUUUAAUCAAAUGGAGUGCCAAAAAAUAAAGGGAGUCAACAGUAAAAGAGAUAAUUCAUGAAAAUAGAACAGCAAGAAACAAUCAAUUGUUUAGGUAAUAAUGCUUAAAAGAGGGCUGGAGCAGCUCAAAAGGACAGUAGUCAGAUGUAGUUUGAUAAAAAAAAAAAGUAUGACUUGCUGCUUUCAAGGCAUAAGGAAGAUGGAGAGUGCGAGAGAGAGGACAAAAGAAAGAAACUAGAUAAGAUUUCUUGUGUCUCACAAAGUGCCUUUUGUACAAAGCUGUUUUCUGUAGUGGAGAAUUGCAAUUUCCAUGUGAUCAGAAUGGCAAGAUGGCACAUUACUUUAUACUUCAUUGUUCUGAGAAGAGUGCAAUAAGAAGUGUUCUAAGACUUCGUGUUAUGACUGGCUUGUUUACUAGUUUCAUCUAUAACAGAGCUAGCUUUAAAAAUAACUUCCUUUCUCUUCUGACCAAUCUUUCAACUCAGCAAUUCUCUGAACCUCACCACAUGGCCCAGCAAGCCUACAUACCCAUCUCCUAAUCACAAUACUUCCCCAACCGCACACACACACAUGCAAAAAAGUGUCCUGAGAGAGCUAAGGUUAUCUUAAAGAAAUCACCUGCAUUGAUAAAACUAGCUCAGCAUUGGCAUCAGGUGCUGGAACAGCUCGAGAUUCUCUUUGCCCUCUUCUUUCCAUGUCAGGUUUCUGGCCCUUGCUUCCUGCUGCUCCUUGUCUGUUUGUGUGAACAAAAAAUGGGAUUGUUAGCAAACUACACUACAUUUACAAGUCAAGGAUUCCAUCAGUGAUAGAAGCACGAAGGAUAGUUUAGUGGAUCAGUAAGAAACACACAAUAAGCAAUAUGAGCAAGGGCACUAAGGCAACUGUCACAACCAAAAUACAAAAUUAUGUAAACAGACACUGCAUUCAUCUGAUUCAAAUUGAUUCCUACUUCAACUAUUUUUUCUCUUUUCUCAACUAGUGCACGCAACUUCUAUAUUUUAACAAUGCCAUUAACUGCGGCCAACAUGCCAAAAACGAAAUCUUUUAAAGCUUUUUUUCCGGGCCUUUGCCAGAAGCCUUCCAACAAAAGAUUAAAUGAACAAUAAAUUGGAGAAAAACUUUUUUUCUGUUCUUUUACAAUGUUUACCUUCUAGCUUCUUCAUCUCGCAUUUUUGCAUCAAACUCUUUGCUAGGAGGAUAAUCAGGCAAACUUGAAGGAUCACAAGGAAGCGGCUUGGUCGUAAAGAACUUUAAACAAAACUAAACAAGUCAAAUACAAAUUAACAGAAAGCAAGAGAGAGAAUUGUAAAAUAGAACUAUAAAUACUAGAGCCAACCUCAGCCAGCCAUGAAGAUUAUACUCAUCUUAUGAUUUAUUUAUUUGUCUAAAAAGAAAAGGUUAAAUGAACACUUGCUACCAACUGCUUUGGACCAAUAUGUUACAUUAAAUGGAUGGUAUUUCUCCAAAAUUAUGUUAAGAUUACAAAAAAAAUAGCUGUGCUGCAUAAGAAGCUAUAAUAUCAAAUAAGGAACUCAAAAAUAAAAAUAUACGAUCAGUUACCAGAGCUACAUCAAAAAGGUUGACAAAUUGCAUGGUGAAAAGAAAACACAAAAAGAACAUACACACUCUUGUACAAGAUGCAGUUUUUUUUUCAAAGAACAUGUUACAUAGAAGGAAGCAUAGGGAAAUGAAGGACGGUUCUCUUUUAAUUGAUCACAGAAAAAAGAAGACAUACACAAAAAGAAGAAAUAACAUAUAUAAGAAAACAUACACAGAAAGAAAACAUCACAGAAAAAAUAAAUAUAUAAGAUCAGUUAACUGAGCUACGUCAAAAAGGUUGACAAAUAGCAAGGUGAAAAGAAAACACAAAAAGAACAUGCACACUCUUGUAUAAGAUGCAAUUUUUUUUUUCAAAGAGCAUGUUACAUAGAAGGAAGCAUAGGGAAAUGAAGGACAGUUCUCUUUUAAUUGAUCACAGAAAAAAGAAAACACUCAUCAACCACCAACUAAAAUUCAAAACUGUUCAUGGUUGUCGAAAAUUCACAAACUAAAUGUGAUACACCAAAAUAUACAAAGUGCAUAAAAGAGUGAAAUUGUAGGAGUCUUCGAGUGAGAUCAAGGGACAGAAAAUAAAUCCUAAAAGCAACACAGCAUUUGGCGACAGAUUAUUGAUGAAAACUCAACCCCGUAUAGUUGCAGGCUAGCAGUGACAAAAUGUGAUUAACAGAAACACAAUCACCAUUGAGAAAACUGGGCUUGGGUGCUUUUGUGAAGAAACAAAGUGGAAUGAAUCAAAGGAGCAGCCACAAAAGUUUGGUAAAGUUGAUUAGUUGUGGAAAAAUACAAUGAAGCAUAAUAGAGAGAUCUGAAACCUAAUAUAUGCAACGAGAUGGCUAAAGACCUGUCACAAUCUAAACCCCUUAUGAUACAACUUCAGAGUGGUGUGAAUUGCCUGCUAUUGUGUCUUUGCUGAUGGCACCAGGUGAACUUGAAUGUUUAACAGGAUUUACCUCCGUCCAAUUACAUAAACACAAACUCUUCCAGUGACUUUUAGAUUGCAACAACAUGGUAUCACAUGAGUUGGAAGGAAAACAGACUUCAGUCUCAAAAUGUAUUUCAGUGACAAUAAUAACAAAAAUCCUAGACAAAAUUAUUAGAAAGAUCGAAUUAAAAAUGAAAGAAAUGUUAAUGAGUGAUUUACUUAUUAGGUAAAAAGAAUUGAAAUAUAUGCACUAUCAUGUGUAGCAAUAUAGAUCUUCUAAUUGAAGCCAAUAUGUAUCUCUGAAUCAAAAAAUACCAAGAAGACCAUAAACCACUUUCCAAUGUAACACCAAAUCCCCCCACCCCCAAAGGGACAAAAAACACUCACAAAAAGGGAAGGGGAAUUUGAGAUACAUAGUUCAUGGAUACCUCAUACCUCACUCCUCAGAGCAGAAGCUGCAGAUCCACGAUCUACAGGAUCAAUGGCGAGCAGGGUCUCCAUAAGAGCUAAAGCUGGUGCUGGGAAUUCCUUAAAUGUUUCUGCAACACAGCGUCUAUAAGGCUGCUGAGGCUUAAAGAUAGUCGCAUGAGGCAACUUUGAUUUUCUCCAAUAAUCUUCAGAAGGUGAGCCACACAGCUUGAAAAUUUUAUGCAGCUGCUCCACCUACAAGGCAGAGGCAUGCAAACUAAUCAUCAACAUUUUAAGUAGCUGCACUAAUGUUUUUUAUGACACUUACAUAGAUUAUAAGAAAGCAGAAAAGGGAUACGGCAUCUUGUGAUAAUUAUUCUCUCUUUCAAUCUUUUCUUUUUGAUAAAUCCUUUUUCUUUUUCAUAUUAUAAGAAUUUUGCAAAAGGAUAAAGAAAUUCAGACAUAUCAGACUCUGUUAGGUCUUUGCUUGAGGUCUCUUUUUAAAUAAACUUUUACAAUAGCUUGCAACACUGCUAAAACAUAUUCUUACUCGAGUUCCCUUAUUUUUACCUUUGACCAAAUUUAUAGAAAAAAUAAGGCACCCUCCAAGGUUAAAGUAAACAUCAAGACACGGUUACCUAUGAUCAACACCCAUGAUUUGUCAAAGGUGAGAACUCAUAAGGUAUUAUCACCUAGUGUUUGUGUUAAGUGUUAUAGUAGUAGAAAGUGCAUGACUAUGUUUCUUGCAUUGCCCAACAGCUUGGAAUGUGGAGUUGAGUUUCUAAAUGCUGAAAAGAAUUAGGCACUUCUGCGUAGGGUGGAGAAGAUGUUAAUGAUCCAUUUAGUGGGUUUUUUGCUGACAGGAUGUAAUUCGACAAUCUUCAAAGCAAUAACUAUCUAGAAGUUAGCACGGGAUAAAAUUUGUAUCUGGCAAUAAUUAGUUCAACAUUGUACUUGGAAUGAUGGCCCAUGAAAAAUAAUCUGCAUUGCAGUAUAUUAUAACAUGAAAUAGCAAGCAUCUAAGAGAAACACUCUGUUUGGUGGAGAACCCUAAAAGACAUUUUUUUUUCUCGAGAAUAGAAAAGGAGAGCACCUCAGUUCUCCCUGGCAUAAUAGGCUUGCCAGCAUACAAUUCCGCAAGUAUGCAACCUGUACUCCAUAAAUCAACAGCUAUCCCAUAGUAGGUAGCUCCAAGUAGAAGCUCUGGAGGACGGUACCAAAGAGUCACUACUCGGCUUGUCAGUGGCUGAACCUGGGCAGGAUCAUAAAAACUUGCUAGUCCAAAGUCUGCAAUUUUCAAGAUACCAUUGUUGUCAAUUAAUAGGUUGGAACCCUUUAUAUCACGGUGUAGAACACCACGGCUGUGACAGUGAUCAAGUCCUCGUAAAAGUUGUUGCAUGUAACAUUUCACCUGCCAGCAUAUACAUAUUAGACCACAACAUCCAAAGCAUACAAGCAUGAGUCAAAUAUCAAACCUGUUCUACCUUUUAAGAUUGACAAUUUACACAUGGAUGAUCUUGGAGGAUAAGGAGCAUGUAAAACUAGCAGAUGUUAACAAUAAAAUACGUAUGAAUUUCAUAGUUAGCAGCUGAUAGCCUGUCACGGCAAAAUGCAAACACCCAUUGAAUUAGAAUCUAUUAGAACCAAACUGCCAAAAUUACCUGGGCUUCUGUAAAAUUCAGACCAGGGUGUGAGGCAAGCCCAGCCAAAUCAUGCUCCAUGUACUCAAACACAAGGUACAAGCUGCAUGACAUCCUUGAUGUAACUAGGCCUUCUAACUUUAUUACAUUAGGAUGGUCAAGCCUGCGCAAGAUGUGAAUUUCCCUGGCCAUGAAGCGAACACUCUCAGGUUCCAGGUUAUCAAACCUUACUUUCUUCAAAGCAACAAUCUUCUUCUGAUCAAGGUCACGAGCCCUAUAAACAUUACUGUAGGUUCCCUGGCCAAUCUGCAUUAUAAUAGAAAUCAUCAGAUGAGGGAACCAAAUCCCAAAAGCAGGUCAUUUCAGUUCAAAGAGGACAGCAGCAGAUAAAAAUAACAGGGCAAACCAUUCUACAAGAACUUGUGGGACCUGAAUAGAAUGAUCUGCUGUUGUCAACUACUCAAAAAUUAUACACAAAAAAGUGCAAAUAGAAGUCCAUGAUAUCCAAACAAGAAAUGCUCAACAGCAAACCUGGCCCCUUGGCCCUAGCUUAAAGAGUAAGAAAAUAGUAAAAUACAAUGGUCAGGGACACAGGAUACAGAUUUGCACAUUCAGACCAGCCUAUUCAUGCAAAUCGCUUCAUCCUUCAAGACUAGAAGUUUGAAAAAAUUCAGCCAAAUUAACCAAAACGGAAUACCAAAAGCAGGGAGCAGGAAAUUCCAGCUACUGAAGUUGUUAACAAGCAUCCAUUUCUUGAAUUAUGCGGUAAAAUUAACAAUACAUGUUCAACUAAAAGUUAUAAGCUAUCUGUCCAUAUAAUAGCAGCUCCCUCACACAUCUUUAAAUGCUAUUGUAAAAUUUAAGUUUUUUUCUUUAGGUGAGAGGGGCAAGACAUGAACUCGAGAUCCUGCCGCCUCUCCCCUGAUUCUUGUGGAUUAGAGCUUUUGGGCUAAACUAUCUCAACAAAAUUGAAAAAGACCUGUUACAAACAAUGUUGAUACAUAGCACUCAUCUUCAUGGACCCAACUACAAUUCAGAUAUCACAUACACACAAUGCAAGUUGAAGAUUAUACCACACUUUUAAUAUUCUGCACUUUGUUUACUGUUCUUCCCCCACCAUAUUUGUUUCAAAGUUCCCUCCUUCCUCAGCACACUAACGCUAAUUGACUGGCAGCUUAUCAAAAUUGGAUUCAUUUUAGACCCAUUGUAUCUAUUUUGAUGGAUAAUUAUCUAAAUGUUAUGGGUAUUCCACUAACUAUAAUAAAAAGGGCACAUUAUCAAAGAAUGGUGCUUCUCGAAUAUUCCCCAAUACUAAAUAGCUCUUAAAUUCUCUUAAUAGCCUCUUACAUUUUCUCAAAGCUCUUGGACUCGAACAUGGAUACUUCCUAUUUUCUGAUAUGGUAAUCUCUCUAACCAAAUAAAAAGGUCUAACUACAAGAAAAUCAUUCAAACCUUUAAAGCAUCACUAAUUCCUACACUGUGAUUGCAGAAACAUGGAUCUUUCUCUGGUGUAAUCAGUAUAAGCCAUUCAAAUUCAAACUCUUUCAUAUCCAUACUGUCUCAAGCCUCUCAAAACUCUAUGCUUCUCAAGCCUCCAGGCUCUGACAAGUAAACUGAACUUCUAGCUAACAUUUAUUUAGAAGUUAUCAGGUUCAAAGAAUCCGUCAUUACUCUUAGCAUGUAAAAAUGAGUUAUGCAGAGCUCUUAUGCAUGUUAUAAAUGAGCCUUCCUAAAUGUAUUUUUCACCACCUUGCUUAUUUAUAAAUAUAAAUAUAACAAGCAUACAUACAACACAAAUCUCAAGGAAAAGUCACUUAAUAGCACCAAAAAAAAGUUCCAUAAUUUUGCUAACUGAAUUCAAGCUAAAGCUAUAAAAUUUGACAACACACCAUAUCCAAUGCGUGCACAAAUGAAAAUGCUAAAAAAUGUAACAGUCCAAAAAGGUUCUAAUUCUAAUUAGCAAUCGUCACUUUGUUCAUUGCAUUAUGAACCAAUCGAGGUGUCAUAAGCAUGUUCUUCAACCAUUAAGUUUGAAUUGCUAAAUUUUGAAAAUCAUAAACAGAAUCUUGCUUGCAAUGGAGCAGAGCUUACAAUAACACAUGUCAACGUUGAGCUUAGAGAUUUUUUAUGAAGUUACUUUAAAAGUGGAAAAAACGAUCAUCAGUAAUUGCAGGACGUGUUCUAAACAAAAGCACAUGUCAACGUUGAGCUUAGAGAUUUUUUAUAAAGUUACUUUACAAAAUGGAAAAAGGGAUCAUCAGUAAUUGCAGGACGGGUUCUAAUGAUUAAAAAUGAGAUAUAACAACAAAAACAAAACGAAAAAAAGGGCAUACCUUGUCCAGCUUCUCAAAUGAAUCCGCACGCCGUGGCAACCAACCUUUGAUUGCCUCUCCAGCCACAGCAGCUAGCCAGGAAGGCCACCCAGCUGCAACCUGCUCCCCUUCAGUGGCUUUCGGUAUGCUGCCCAUACCUGGGUGGUGAAGAACUGCAUACUCUGACUUGUCCCUCUUCCUAUCAACAUGCUCAACCCCAUGCACUCUAAGAGACCCAUUCACUUGCUUGUCAAUCAACAUUGUCCUACCAUCAUUACUAUCAUAUUGAUCUUUCGCUCUAUAUGCUUCCUCUCUCCUUGAAGAGGUAGCCCUUGAUACCCUCAAGUCAGACGAGGGCUUACUUGAAAGUCUCUCUCUUGGGCUCUCCUUGCUAUCCUCAAUUGCAGAGGGUUUACAACACAUGCAACCCAUUAUGUACCUAAACCACCUCCAAAAACACCCUUCUCCUUUAGAAUCAAUAAUUACCCUUCAAAAAUCUCAUCUUUACACUUCUAUCCUCUUCUUCCAUUCCCAUUUUCACACAACCAAACUAUACUUCAUCGAAAAUAAGCAAUUAAACUAUGUAUCUCAAAAUCAAUCACCGGAAGAGCAUAAGCAAUUCCCACUCAAGAUUGAAACUUUAAAAUAACCGAACACUAGAACCACACAAUUUUGCACAAUAACUUAACUGUGACUCAAUGACUGCUCUUUUACUGUGAAACUUCCAUUUCCUUAUCAAACCCACCGACUCCUAAUCCAAAAAAGGAAACCAAUUUCCUCAACCUACAACGCUAAAAAUGAAAAAACUAACAACAACCACCACCUUUACUCCAACAACAAAUUAAGAAUCACAACCUGAAAACUAAAUACCUUUAAAAUGUCAUGCCUAAUCUUUUCAGCUAUCGAAUCAGGUGAUUGAAAACCCUCCACCAAACUCACAAUUCCACUACAAAACAAACCCUAAAAACCCAAUAAAAAAAUAUAGAACCCAAAUUACCAAAACAAACAAACAAAAUCUAAAGAAAGUAAAGAACUGGAAACACUUCAAUAUAAAGCAUGCACCUUGAAAAUGGAAACCAAAAUGGUAAUAAACAAUAUUGUGAAAUGAGAAUUGAAGGACCUCCUAGAGAUGGAGAGAUCUAGGGAAAGAGAGAGAGAGAGUGGAGUAGUGUAGAGAAGAUGACAAGAAAAUGAAAAAUGAGAAUAAAUAUGUAAUACAAUAAAUAAAUAAAUAAAUGUGAAAGUUAUUACUAUAUAUUAAUAUUAUUAAAUUAAUUAAUUAAUGAGAUGGCGCGUAAGAACAGACAGGCUUUUAGAGAAGACUGAGAACUGAAGAGUGAGUGAAGACCCCAAUGCGUAAAGACAUUCUUGGUUUGUGUCUUCUUCUAUCCCCACGCGCUCUGUUUAUAUUGACACGUGUAUAUUUUUUCUUUGCCUUCGUUUUUUUUUAAACAAAACAUUAUUUAUCAUUUGAUGAAUAAUCUCUCUUUAGAUUUUUUACUGCCAGUUUAUACCUGACUGAAUAAAGUAAAAAAAAAAACUAAAUAGAAUAAUUUAACAAAAAAAUAUUAAAACCUAUUUCAUUAAUUUAUUUAACUUGUAGUUUAACCGAAUAAAAACUGAAUGUUACUGUAUUAUUUUCAAUAAAAAAAAACUUGUGUAUAUCAUAAAAUUUUCUCAACUUUAUAUAAUAUUAUGAUAAUACAUAAUUAUAUAAUAUAUGUGUCAAAUAUUAAUGUUGUUUUAUGAAUUAAACCCUAGUCAAUAUUCAUAAUAAAAACAUAUCUUAUAAUGGUAUUGUAGCUUCACAGGAUCCGUUUUCAUCUAUGGUAAAAUUUCUGUGUUUCAUUUUUUACCAUGCUUUAUUAAAAGAAAAACUAAAAAACGUGAGAGUUUCAAUGUAACUCUAUAUAUAAAUUAUUGUAAAUUAUUAUAGUAAAAUUAUUCUUUUACCUUUAAAUAGAAAAAACUUAAGUCCUGAAGUUGGGGUUUUUUCCACUUACCUAUUAGUUAUUGAAAAUUUUUUUGGGGAUAUAUGUGUUUUUUCUAAUUUUUUAUACAGUAAAAUACUUUUUUUAUUAAGAGUCAACAAUAUUUAUAAAUAUUGACCAAGGGCUUUCUUGAUUUUUCUCAAAUUUUUUAACAGCAAAAAUAUUUUUUUGCCCCCGAUAUCAAAAAUUUAUGGAGUUGUUGGGCAAAGGUGUUUAUGGUUUUUUCAUGAUCUAUAUACAGAAAGCAUAUUUUUAACCUUAUAAAAGACCAAAAAAAAAUAAGUUUUUCCUUUAAGGGUGUUUUAAUAUUUUCAUAUGAGUAUUCUGUGUAAUUAACAUGUUCAUGAGGGUGUUUUGGUAUUUUUCACAUUUUCUUUUCAAUUUUUUAUUCUAAGAUCUGUUGAAUGCGUGUUCCAAACAUGCUGAAGAGUGGAUGGCGUUCGUGUCAUUCAGGUGAUGAUGAUGGUGAUAAUUGUGGUAGUGAUAUUUAUAAUGAUGAUGAUGUCAUCGUCGUCGUCAUCAUAAUAAUAAUAACAAUUUCAUACUCACAUUUUUUCAUACUCACAUUUUAUUCAAAAAAUAAUAAUAAUAAUUUAUUAUGAUAGUUGUAGUGAUUAUGAUAUCAAUAACUAUGGUGAUGAUGGUAAUAAUAUUAAGAAUUAUUAUAAUAAUGAUAUUGAUGGUGGUGAUAUUAUAAUUAUAAUAGUAAUAAUAAUAAUGAUAAGAAUAAAAAUAAUAGUAAUAUUAAUUGUGAUGGUGGUGAUAAUAAUUAUAAAAAUAGUAUUAACAAUAAUAAUAAUAAUAAUAAUAAUAAUAAUAAUAAUAAUAACAACAACGAUAAUAAUAACAAUAAUAAUGGUAACAAUAAUAAUGAUAGUAAUCACGAUAAUAAUACUAAUAAUAACGAUAAUGAUAUUACUUAUUGAUAAUAGUAGUGAUGAUGACAGCUGUAAUGUUAGUGAUAGAAGUAUUGAUGAUGAUAAUAACGAUAGAAUACUAAUGGUGAUAAUUCAUCAUUCGAUGUUAGAUUUGUUAGGAAUUGAGUUUCACCACUUUUCCAUGUAUGGAAUUUCCGGUCUAAUAUUCUGGGUUACUAGUUUGAAAAGUGUAAUUGGAAACUCGUUUUAGGAAAAGAUCCAAGAUAAGAGAUUUCAAGAUUCAUCUUAUUGUCCGGGUUUAUAGCAUUGCAAAAAAAUCUUUGUGCUCUUGAUAAUUUUUUUCUACAUUUUUUAAAACAUGGUUUGGCUCGUGGUGGAGCGCAAAAAAAUGAACGAGUACACUUUCUAUGUAUUGUUGUUUAUCGUUGUUUAGAGAGCACUUUUUUUAUCUAUUGUUAUUGAAUUAUUUUUAAAUUAAAAUUAAAAUUAAAAAUAAUAUGGAUCAAACACCUUUAUUCAAACUUACUAAAUUUAUGUAACGAUCACUUUCUUUAUUUUAUCAAAAUUUCUAAAAACCAACAAAUCUUGAUAUUUAGAAAUUUUCCUAAACAAAUAUAUACCAAAUGUAUUUGUGAUUUGAGUAUUUUUUUUAAACAUAGAAAUUGACGAAGUCAUGAAAUCUUCAUAUUGGAUUAUGCUUUCCACGGGUUGUGAUUUUAGGCUAGAGAAGUGACCGAUUUCACCACUAAUCAAUAAGAUUUUCCUACAAAACAAUCUCAUGUUGGAACAAGAGGUCUUCUAAAAAUUAAUUUAAUAAAAAACAUGAGGGAAAUAAUAUACAUGAAAGUAAAGAAUGUAGGAGAGUGUAUUUGUGAAUGUUGGAUUGGGUGCAUUGUGUAAACUUGUUGAAUAGUUGUUCGUGAUUUCUAAAAUUGUUGUCUGGUUGCUUGUGUGUUUCUGGAAGUGUUGGGUGGUUGCUCAUGGUUAUUGGAAGUGUUGGCUGAUUUCUUGUGAUUACUAGAUCGAGACCCAAAUAAUUUUUCAAGGUCGAGCCAGCCAAAAUAAACUGAAAAGCAAUUUGUUUGGGUUGUGGCCUAAAGGGAUUGAAGGUAGUCAUUUUGGUUUGCUGGCCUAAACAUGUUAUUUAAUUAUUAUUAUUUUAAAUUUUAACAAAUUUAUCGUGCCAUCAUAUGUCCCCCAAGUCUUUAAAAAACAUGUUUGGAAGACUUUACCGAAAAAAAGUAGGGGAUAUAAAAUACUUAUUGUUUUUAUACUGGUGAUGUUACUUGCUUUUGUUAAUGUACAUACAUGAGAGUUCUCUUAAUUGUUUUUCAUCAUUUCUGUGAAGAGAAGAGAAUUUAGUCAAUUUUAUGUGUUCUUCCUAGAAUAGAGAACAUUAUUACUUAAAAGUGGAGAAUAUUUCAUGUGAAAACAACUUUAAAGUAUUAUAAUAUUGGAGAAGUGGAGAUUUCAUUAGAGAUCUCAAGUUGAGAUCUUUAUUGGAGACAUUAGAAACACAUUUAGAGACAUAGAAACUUCGCUUGGAGAUGUGGAGAUUUCAAUAAAGAUAUGAAGAUCUCAUCAUGAAGAUUUUUUAUUGAAGACAUGAAGAUAUGUUUUGGAGACACGAAGAUCUUACUUUGGAGAUUUUUAUUAAAGACAUGGAGAAAUAUUACUACUUUUAUUCAAAAGUUAAUGGAGAUAUAAUUUCUAAAAAUUAUUUGAUCUUGGACAGUCCAUCAUAUGAAUUUUUUUCAGUUUGUUCAGAUUCUUUUUUUUUUCUUCAUAAAUUAUUAGAGGUAUCCUUUAAAGAUCAAUUUUCCCUCUUCUUUUUCAAGGUAUGACAUUCCUCAAUGUCGUGAUCAUGGUCAUGGUAAAAGUGACAGGAUUUAUUAGGGUUCUUUGUAUUUGCGCUGCUUUUCUUAGGGCCAGGUAUCAUUUCCUUGAUUGGUAGCCAACACUUUAGUAUAUGUAGUGAUAAAAGGUGUGUUCAGGAGCUCGAAGAAUGUUAGGCGAUCAAGAAAUGAUCUCUCAGUGCUCUUUUUCGAUGCCCUGGUAGGAGAUCGAUAACAUUACAGAGAUUUUGCUCUCUCUAAAAACGAUGAUGUCCCUAUUUGGCAACAUUGGCUUCUUAAACGAUAAUAAGAAUAGACAUAAACAUUAAAUUGAUUGAAUAAAAUAAAGGAAAAAAAUAUUAUGCUAGGUUGCACAUAUUAGAAAUAUUAUCUAAAAAUAAAAAAACUUAUUUUAAAAAAUAAAAUUCAUCUAUACAAAAGAUAAAAAAAAAAUUAUAGAUAAAUAAGAAAAACCUCGUAAAAAAUUAAAUGCAUAACAAAAAAAAUCAUCAAUUAAAAGAGGCUCUUUAAACAAAAUAAAAGAAAGAAGAGGUAUUAAUCUAAAUAUAAAUAUUUAAAAAUGUAUAAAAAGAAGCAUUAAUUAAAAAAAAAAAAAGGUCAGGUGCAGUAGCUAACCUGUCUAGCCUUUUUGUUGGGGCUCGCGCGACUAGGCCCUUAUUUGUUUUCGCAUUUAGGGUGGUGUCGCCCCAAAUGUUUUUGAAAAAAUAAAUCAGACGACACGUCGUUUGUUUUUGCCCAGAUUCCAACCAUUGCAGUGACCAAAAAAUCAAGGCUUAGGGUUUUUUACCCAGAAACACAUUUUUCAACAUAUUUUUGACCAAAAACACCUAUAAAACACCUUAAAAACCGUAACAAACCUAUUUAUAGCCUAAAAAACCAAAAAACCAUCUCAAAAAUCAAAAUCAACCCGAGCUCAUAUAUGUUUUUUCAUGAAUUUUAAAGGUAAAAAAAUCUAGUAUGAACUCCCCUCAUCAAAUAGAAUUAUUUGACACAAAUAUCGACCGUUUUAGUGGUCUAAAUUGGUAUUAACGGCAUCUCUCUCUCUACCGCUAGAAUCCAGCGACCUCUCUCUCUCAUCUCUCAACCAGAGACUAAAAGUAACAAAAAUAAAUUUUUAUACCGAAAUUGAAUUGAAAAAAUAUUAAGACACCAAAAUUGUAUAAUUUGUUUUAUUUUUAAAGUGCGAUGACCAAAGUAUAUCUAGAUCUACGGUGUUUUAUUUGUGUAUAAAUAGUGUCGGCUCUACAGCUAAAAUCACAUGCCUUUUUAGAUUUUUACUUCAAUUAGUUUUCUUUCUCCAAUUUGAAGGAUAGUAGAUAGGCAUUUUAUUUGUGUAUGAAUCCAAAAAAUAAAUACUCUAGUUUUGUUAACGAAUCACAUCAUGUGCUAGGACACGGCAACAAUUGCAGGGAAAACUUGAUAAUAAAGGAUGGAUUGAUUUGCUGGAUUUUCUUUUCCUUUUGCCUUUUUAGCAUUCUUUCUAUAACUUGAUAAUAAAUAUCGUUAGGUGGGUGAAUUGGAUGGAAACUCUUGCCCCUCAUUUGAAGGCCCCACUCAAAAUAAUCAUGAUCCUAAUCUUAGUAAGUUGAAUAAUCAUGUGGCUGUUCAAUGAUUGAUUUUUUUUGGGUAAUGCUGAUUUUAAUAUCAUUUUCAUCUAUCAAUUUGAUUAGGUGGGUCCUUGUCGCUGACAUUUUUCUUUGGAUGAUUGGAGACUUUUUUGACCUUCAUCCAUGUAUGUAUGGGUUUUAACCAGCAGUGAGAAAAAUAGUUGACAUUUUUCUGCUUUUGACAUUAAAAAUAUAAAGUUAAAAGGUUUUGGAAUACACUAUUUUUAUAUAUCCACUAACAUUGUGGAUAAUAAUAGUAAUUUAUAGUAUUGGUUUUUUUUUUUAGCAUUUUGACCUUUUUUUCCUUUUAAGUAUUGGUUUUUUUUUUUAAAUUUAUUCCUCAUAUGAUAUGUUUAUAGAGAUUUAGAGUAAAUAAUUUAUUUUAAUUUGUUUUUUAUAUAGUUAUCACAAUACUAAAAAAAUAUCAUAGCAUCGAGUUGGUAUCGGAAAAAAAUUUCAGUAUUACAGUAUGAUCUAUUUUUAAAAAAGUUUAGUGAAACAAAAAAUAAUUUAGAAAAAAAAACUAAGUUAUUAAACUUUGUGGAGUCAAUGACCCUGUUUCCGAGUUUGGCGAGAUAAUCCUGAUUGCCUCGGUUCGCGGGUUUUGUUGGGUACUUUUUUUUUCUAAUUGAACUUGAUUAUAUGAUCAUAUAUAUUUUUUUAUCAUAUAAUUAAAAAAUAGUUUAAAAAAAACAUGUUACUAUAUUUUAGAAAGUCCAUGGGCCUAUUGACGAGUUUAACUUUUCUGUUUUUCUUUUUUAAAAAAAAUUAUUUUUUUUAUUUCAUCCUUUGAUGUUAGGUUGAUUGAGAAUUGAGUUUCAUAAUUUAUUUCGUUUUGCUUUUUAAGAGGUUAUUAUAUUCUUAAAAAAAAAGUCUUAGAAUUGGUUUGAUGCUUAAUUUUGCGAUCAUCUAUUUUUGUUAUCAUAUAGUUAAAUAAACAAUAAUUUAUAUAAAAAAACAAGUUAUUAAUCCCAAUGGAGUCCAUUAUCAGGUUUGCGAGUUUGAAAUGUUGACCCGGGUUACCCGAUUCACGAGUUUAGCCAUCAAGCCUGAUAUUUUUUUUUUUAGAUUUUGGUCCUUUAAUUUUUCUAAUUGUCUUUUUUUUUUAUUUCACUCUUCUUUAAUAUUGGAUUGUUUGGGAAAUGAAAUUCAUGGUUUAUUUUUUUCUACUUUUUAUAAGGUUAUCACGAUCUCAAAUAAAAUGUCUUUUUUAUGGUUACUGCUCAAUUUUUCAAGUAUCUAAUGUUAUCAUAAAAUUAAAUAAAAAUAAUUUAUAAAAACAACAAAUUUAAUAAACUCAUUGAACUUCAUGACCUAGGUUACAAGAUGACCGAGGUCGAUCUCAUCUGGUAUCAUCUCAAUAUUAAAAAAAAAUUAUUGUCUUAAAGUUUUUUUAAAAGAUAUGUCAUGUUUUUAUUGGUCAUCUAAGUUGUAUUUAGACCCAUUAAAUUGAAUGAUUCACUUUGGAUCAACUCUUACGCGAUUUAAUUCAAAACUCGAGUAAGGAAAAGAGUCGAGUUGGCAGGUUUCAAGAUCAAACCGCUUGAUUGGAUUUAAUGAUACUACAAAAAAAUAUCACCAUACUCUUAACAUUUUUUUAUGUUUAGAAAAAGAAUAGUCUGACUCACAGUGAAAUGCAAGCAAAUGUAUUAAAACAAGAAUGUGUGACAUAAGCUCGUAUAUUUACAUUGCUCAUAGUUAGAUUAUUGGGGAAUUACAAAAUUGUCAAGAAGAGUGAUAAAUUGAUAGUUGGAGGCAAGGUUGUCAAAAACGCAUUUUUGACACGACAUGAAAAAUACAAAAUAAACUCGGAUCGUAAAAACGGAUCGUAAAAUCGUAAGGAAUUUUUUCAAGAGAAGCCUAUUGUCCCAAAUUCAAAGAAGAUGAUACAAAUAAAACAAUGUUCUGGAAAGGAAUAAACAUUACCAGCAAUGCUUUCAUAAUCACAAAGACACCAUAACACCAUCCCACGCAAAUUCAAAGAAAAUCAAUACAAACAAAACAAUGUUCUGGAAGGAAACAGACAUUACCAGUAAUGCUUUCAUGGACAGGGACAUUGGUGACCAGUUCCUUCACACUCAAACGUUUGCACAACAACGUUGUAAAAUUCAUAAUGUUCAAUCACCAAAUAGUUAAAAAACCUGCAAAGAAAAAAACAUCGCAUCAAAAGUUUGAACCAUCAAUAACAAAAGACACGCUGAAAUGCAGAGAGAAAAGAGGACACGAAGCAAAGCAAAACCAAGGUUUUUAUUUUUUUUCUUCGAAUACAUAAACCUGUUCAAACUGUCCACAUAGCAAAACAACAACAUUGAGACCUGCCAACAUUACAGGUAACCUCCAUAUGCAAUCUGUGAUUGUUCCUGCACAAACACACUAAUCAGUUCUACCCCAUAGAUUGAUCCCUGAAGCUUUUUCUUCAGAAAUGAAUCCUUUGCUCUUUAAACUUUAAACUGCAUCCUUGAUAAUUUGCUCCAUGGGAAUAAAUUCUAAACCCAAGUCCAUCAGCUUCUUGGCUCCAUUCUUUGCCCUUAACAACCCAGGUUGGGUAUCCUUCAGCAACCUACACCAAUAGGCACAUUAAGGAUCAAGCAGUAAUGAUUCAUACCAUCAAACAACCAGAAAGAAGUUUUAAGAUCUCAAUGAAGCAGGGGUGGCAAUGGACAGAAGUUUGAUCCACAACACAACAACAAGCACAACUUUGUAUGAGAAUAAAGAGCAAGACUAGUUAAAUUUAAUGUUCCCAAAUUCAAAACCCACAAACCACACUUAUCAAGAAAAUCUAAAUUCACCUCAAAUCAGCCUAUAUACUGAUUUUGCGAAAGAAAUUAUCAUAAGAAAAAUUGGUCUCAUUUCACAAGUUCGAUUACCAAACUUUGCUUUUACUGUAAUGACACCUAACCUAGCAAUAAUAAUCUACUACAAUUUGCUCCAAUAAGAGUUCAAACAUUCUGACAGCUUAACCAAUUAUAUAGACCGACCUCCAGAUAUGAGAAUAUUCAAGAAAUUGGUAAAAGCUAAACAAACAGCUGAAAUAUUCUUCUGAUUUGGGGUUUCAAUCUAUAAUCAGUGUUGUCUUUAGGGUUUUUGCUUUCCAGCUAGCAAGCUAAAGCAAAGCUUAACAUAUAUGAGGACAAAGUGAUAGUAUGCUUGCACGGUUUCACCAUUAUCGUCCAGACUUCCAUAAACAAGUGCACUAACAAGAAAAAAAAAAGAACAAAAAUUGGUUGUUGUUUGAGUUUUGCCUAUGCAGAGACAAGACUCGGUGAGUUGUGGAGGCAGAGCAGUAGAGGUGAGUUGUGGAAAAAGAGGCGAGACUGCGAGAACCCUUGAGAUUUGAGAAAGGGGAAAGGGGAAAAGGGAAAGGGGAAAGGGGAGGGUGACGGUGUGUCGGGGAGGGGAGACAGAGUCAGUUUAUUUUUUUCACUCUCUAUCAAACUCGUUAACUCGGUCCGUUUUUACCGAGUUGACCGAGUUUGGUCGAGUUUGACCGAGUUUGACCAUUUUCGAGUUUUUAACUCGAUUUUACAGGUUAUAUGGGAGUUGACUCGUAAAAUCGUACGAUUUUACGAGUCAACUCGCGAUUUUGACAACAAUGGUUGAAGGGUUAGACUUCAGUUUUUAUCUGAAAAAUAACAUUAACUAAAUAAUUAACUCACAUUAAAUAACUGGUUGGGGAAAAAAUUAAACUUAAAAAAAUUUCAAGUUUGUAAAGAAUUUCUAGGCAGUGUCAUUAAAUUUAGCCUAAGUCAAUUUUAAAAUCUCCUGAUCAAACUCAUCUCUUAGUCCAGGUUUUAAAUUAAACCGUAUGAAAGUUGUCCCGGUAUGACUCAAUUGACCUAAUGAGUUUAAAGUGACCCAAAUAACCAGUAAAAAGUGUAAUUUAACUUUUUUUAAAAAUUUCAAGAUAACAUAAUUUUUUUAAAAAAUAUUGAUACGACAAUAUAUUGUAUUGACCUGAGUUUUGCGGCUUAACCCACCAAAACCAUUACUCGGGUUAUGGACUCCACUUUUAAUAAAAAAAAUUUAAACUACUUUUUAUCUAAUUAUAUGAUAACAAAAAUAGAUGUUUGUAAAAUCAACCACUAACUUGAUGUUGGGAAAAAUCAUGGUGUUUGUUUGAGACCAAAAUAAAUUAUGAAGGUCAAUUCAAAAUCAACCAAAAUUUAAAGGAAAAAAUUGAAAAAAAAUCUGUCAAUAAAUAUCCAAUAUUGAAUGAUGACAUUGGGAAAAAUCAAAGGAAAAAAACCAAAAAAUAGGCUAAACAGACUGGCCUAUAUGGUCCAAUACGCCUCUACCUUCUUUAUUUAUUUUUCUUUUUUAUCAUCCACCCUUUGUUUUUUGAAAACAUAUAUAGUAGGCAAUAUGUUGUAUGUUUUUAUAGAUUCUGACCACCACAUGUGGCUGGAAAGUCAAGCUUCUAACUUAUAGGUAAAAAAAAAAAACAAUUUCAAAUAGUUUUCAAUUGAAAACACCUAAGAAACACCCUAGGGAUCUCAAUAAAUCCAUUUUUUUUAAUCUUAAAUUAGCAUUUAAUCAGUUAUAAAUGAAAAAUCAUUUUAAUCCAUUUUUUAAAAUGUGAUCUACUUUUUUUCAACAAAAUAAAUAAAUAAAAAAGAUCUAAAGAGAACUCUCAUUGUCAAAUGGAACCGAUUAACAAAAAUUAGUCAUUCACUAACUCUUUUUUUUGUGUUUUUAGCGACUUUCCCUUUUCUCUCACAAUUACAUGGUCUAAAUAUGAACAAAAUAAAAUUUAGAACAAAACCUCUCAAUUCCCAAACCAAAUAGACCACAAAGAAAAUUAGACAAAAUCCUAAGGCACAAAGGUGCUAACAUGAUUUUUUUAACGGAAGAUCCUUUUUUAUUUUUUUAAUUGUGGUCCCUUGAUUUUUUUAUUUUUCUUAAAUAAUAAAAUUGGAUUCAUUUUCAUGAAAUUGAGUACCAACCUAAUAGCAAGACUUUUUUAAAAUAGAGAUAACAAAAAAAAUUUGAAACAAAUUAUUAACCUUAAAUCUCAAUAAACACAACAUUGAAGCAUCAAAUUGAAAAGAAAAAAUUGAUGAUCAAAGGCAUAAAAAAAAUAAAGAUGACCAAAGUUAAAACCAUAUAUUUUUUUUAAAUGCCUUAUAUUGUUUUUUUCAAUUUUGGUCCCCUCAUUUUUAAUCUCUUGCAAACAAUAAAAUCAAAUAUAUUUUUUUGUGAAACUUGGCACUAACACCAUGUGAGGAUGUUUUUCUAAGAUAGCGCUAAGCAUAUAAAAAGCGAAUCAAAAUAAAUUAUCAAUCCUAAAUCCCAAUCAACACAACAUUGAAUGAUAAAAUUCAAAAAAAUAAUAACAAAAAAAGGUGUAAAAAAAAAAUGAAGCAACAUUGUGUGAAUAUAUGGUGUUUUGCCUUGUAAUCCACAAUGAUUGUAUGAUGCUUUUUCAGUUUUUAACUAGAUGUAGACUUGUACUACACCACAUGGCCAUAUUAUUAUUAUUAUUGCUUAAAAUGAUGUUCAGGUGAUACGAACAUUUUAAAGAAUGGAGAAAAAUGUGUGACACGAGUCAUAGACCCAACUGGGUUAAAUAAAUUGAUUUUAUUUUAAUUAGAUAAUAAAACAAAUAGGCAAUGACAACAGAUGGACCGAAAAACAUUAUCACGAUAACUUGAAGAAAAAACUUUUUCUAAAAAGGUGAAAAACGAUGUAGCUCAUUUAUCAACCAAUUAAAUACAAGAUGAUAAAAUUAGGUGAAAAUAGAACAAAGAAAAUUGACAUAAGUCAACUCAAGUUAGCAUGACAAACCUAUAACCCGGGUAAUAUAGACCAAGUCAACACGGGUUAGCCCGCCAAACUCUUGGCAUAAGUUAUGAGAUUAUGAUAACUUAAUAGAAAAGAAAAUGAAGAAAAUUACAAUGCCUAUUUUUUUUAAGAGGAAAACAAUGUCGAAUGAUGAAAUAAAAAAAAUAAGUAAGAAAAUGUCAACCCACUUUAACUUCUCAAACUCCUGAUCCGGAUCAUUAGAUCAAAAGCACCCUAUCUUAAAAAACCAUGAUGUCUGAUUCCUAACCAAUCAAAUAUUGAAUGAUGAAAUUAUAAAAAAAAAUCAAUUAAACAAAAGAAUCCAAAAUAGAAAAUAGCAAUUAAACAAUGAAGAACUAGAUUGAAAUAAAAAUAAAUUAGAAAACAACUACAAUUUUUUUAUUGAAGGGUGAAAUUGUAAAUAUAAAUCAAUUUAACAAAAGGACCAAAAAACAAUUAAAAGAAUGAGAAUCAAAUUGAAAAAAAAUAGCUUAUCACAAAUUAGGAUUGAAUGAUGAAAUUGAAAACAAAUUAAAAUUUAACAAAAGGGCAAAGAACAAAAAUUAAAAAUCAAAAGAAUACAGACCAAAGUUGAAGUCUCAAUAAAUAAGAGGACAAGUCUGAAAUUUUGAAUGCUCAAUAUGAAUUUCAAGGGGAGGAGGGAGAAAAGAGAAAAAUAGAAAGAAAGCAUUAUUGUUAACAAACCGCCCCCACUACUGCUGCCUUAUGCGGCCCCAAUAAGGAGAAGAUAUCACGAUGACUCAAUAAACACGUAGAAGGAAAUGUUUUGUUAUCGAGAGACGCCGUAUGCGCCGUUAGAACACUAUGGGAACCUCCUAUAUGCUAACCAUGUUUUUUAUUAUUAUAUUUUAUAUUUAUUAAAAUAUCAAAUUACCCCCAAUCAACUUAAUUAUAACUAAUAAACUAGGUUGAGAAUUCAAAAAAGCCCUCAAAUGCUAGUUUUAGAAUUUUUGCUUUUAAAGAUAUUGUAGUUAUUUUACUGCACUUUAAAAAUAUGAAAUGACCAAGUUAUUUCUGAUCAAUUUGAUAAUGACUAGUGAACCUUGUGAAAAGACUGCAUUACCUCUAAUAGUCAGUUUAAAGAUUUUUGGCGGGAAGAGCAAAAUCAUCAUUACAUUGUUAUAAUUAACAAUGUUUUUCCCUCCCAAAUUAGCUUUUGUUAAUUUUAAUUUUAAUUUAAUUAUAAUUUUCCAUAGCAGUAGACUUUUGGCCUAUAACAAGUUAACUCGAUAUUAUUUGUGGCAAAGGAUAAUAAGAUCCUAAGCAAAAAAAUAAAAUAAAAAAGUUCAAUUGAGUCCUUGAUAUUACUCUUUUUUAAUUUUCUACUUUAAAAAUAAUAAAACGAGGACUUAUAUGUCUUAAAAUGGUACUUGUUUUGGCAUGAGUUUUAAUCGUGGACUUAAUUGGAUAACGUAUGAUAGAUAUAAUGAAAUUUAACUUUUAAAGUUAUUCUAAACAUUACACUAUGUAAAUAAAAUGUUAAAAGAUAGUUCUACUCCAUUCAAUCUUGUAAUGACAAAUAAGUUCUGUAAAAAGAUAAUUUUACCUUGUACGGUUUAAAUUGUGAAAGGAGAAAUAAUAAUUUUAUAAUUUUAUUGUGAGGAUCCACAAUAAAUUAUUAUCUAUUAGUAUAACAGCCCGGCCCAACUUGUCAUAUAUUGUCCACUUUGGGCCUUACUGUCCUCAUGGUUUUGUUCAUGGUGACGCGAGCCCACAUCUGAGCCUGACGCCCCAAAACGCGUAUGACAAGUUGGCAACUAGCACUUGCUAUAUAUUGUCUGCUUUGGGCUUUACCGCCCUCACGGUUUUGUUCCUGGCGACGCGAACCCACAUAUGAGCCUGACGUCCCAAAAAGCGUAUGACAAGUUGGCAACCAGCACUCAUAAUAAGACCAACUACCACUCCCUCACCCGCCGAUGUGGGAUAUUACAAUCCACACACCUUAAGGAGCCUGACGACCCCGUCGGCACAACCGGACAAACAGUGAGGUCGGUUCUGAUACCAAAUGUGACAGCCCCGCCCAACUUGCCAUAUAUUGUUCGCUUUGGGCCUUACCGCCCUCACAGUUUUGUUCCUGAUGAUGCGAGUCCACAUCUGAGCUUGACGUCCCAAAACACGUAUGACAUGUUGGCAACCAGCACUAUUAAUAAGGCCAGCUACCACUCCUUCACCUGCCGAUGUGGGAUAUUACAAUUAGUGUGUGUAAUGUAUUCUUGAUUAAUUUUUUUAGCUUUUGCUUUAAUGGGUUUAAGUUUUAAAGUUUCAUUUAAAAGUCUCCCAAUCAUGCAAUUUGAAAUUCCUACAAUUCAAAUUGUUAGAUUAAUUUAAUUUCAGCAUGAAUUUAUCCCGUUAGGAAUAUAUUGGUUGGGACUUUGAUAUGCUUUGAUAUUACCAUGAUGUUACAUGGAAUCAAAGAUUUCUAAACACAUUUUUUCUUUCCCUCUCAUUAAUUAUAACUUAUAAGUGAAUGGUUAAAAAUACCAGUUUCAUAAAAACAAAAUGAUAAAAAGAAUUGAAAAGAGAUUAUGCAAGAAGGUCCUCUUGUCCUAUAUGCCAAAGAUUUUAUGAUGUUUUAUCAAAAUAUGAAACAUAGAUUAUAUUGGAAAGUUAGGGGUAAAUAUUUUCAGUUCAGUUCGGUUUUUACUUAAAAAAAAUAACCAAAUUAAAAUUUAAAACAAAAAUAAAAAGACUCAGGAUCGGCUCAUGAAAGAAAGCAGGAACUUAUGGAGGCCAUUGAACGUUGGAAUAUAAUGAAAAUUCCAACUUGAUUCAAUGUUGUUGGAACCGGUUUGGCUCGGUCUAAUUCAAUUAGUUUUAAACUCUUAAAUCAAAACCAAACCAACAUAAUUUUUUUGUUUUUCUAAUAUUUAAUUCAGGUUUUUUAGUUAAUUUUUAUUUUAUUUUAUUAAUUUUUCGGUUUUUUUCUCCCCUCUAAAGAAAGUAAUAGAACAUAAUGAAAUUACCAUGAUGCAAGUCUUGGUCGGUCCAUUGAACGUGCACAAUACCUACCAAUACCAUCUCACCUGUUAGCGAACAGUAGCUGUCAAUGUCCAAUAAAUAAUGAAUAGUUUAUCCAUUUGAUAAGGCAUUCAUGAAAUUUAUGGCAGUGUCUUCUGAAAUCGAGACAAGAAACAAGUCAAUGGGACCCCUUCAAGCUCAAGCAUGGUGGCCUCUGAGUUCUUCAUGCUCCACGUAGUUCAACACUUUGUAUUCUAGUUACAAAACUGUAUUAUUAUAUUUCGCCAGCUUUGAUUAAAUAAUCAAGUGAAUUCACAUUAAUAUAUCUGUUUUGUAAUCAACUGCAAGUUAUUUUUUUAAGUUUAUAUAUAUAUAUAUAUAUAUAUAUAUCAACACAUCAAAACUAUUAAAAGAUACUUAAAAAACAUUAAUUUAAUUAUUUUUAAAAUAAAAAAAAUCUAAAAAACACUUUAAAAAACAGGUUGAACCACAUUAUCAAAUACAUCAUUUUCGGAUAUGUUUGGAAUUGUGGUUGUGAUUCAAAAUGUUUUGCGCUUAGAAACGCAUCAAAAUGAUGUUUUUUUAAAAAAAAAAAUUAUUUUUAAAAUCAGCACAUCAAAACGAUCUGAAAACAUAAAAAAUUUAAUUCUUAAUAAAAAAAAUUAAAUUUUUUAAAAACACGGGUUGGAUCUCGUUUCCAAAUGAUCCAUUCAUGGUUGUUCCGAGUAAUUAGCUUUUCAUUAGUACAACGUAAAAUCAAAACUUCUUUUAAAUUGUAGGGGUAACAUUGAAAACAUUUAAAAUAUAAGGGUAGAAGUGAAACAUUUAUGAAUCUCUAGGAGCAGUAUUGAAAUUUACCCUUGUUUUUCUACUGGGGAAACCUCAAUUUAGUCCUCAUAUUUACUUCAACGUCAAUUGAGCCCCAAUCCUUAUGAUUUUGUUAAGUUUACCCCAAGCACAAUUUUAACAUCAAAUCAUUAUAAAUUUUACUUUAUACAAACCAGUUAUUCUCCAAAACAUGAAAGCAAAAGAAAAGAUCAAAGACUAAAACCAGAAUCAAUGAAAUCAGCCAAGAGGAAACAGACCUAAAAGCAUUGUUAUUAAAAUAUAUUUAUGCUUCAUACCUUGCAAGAUAUAUUUAUACUAUAGUACAUACAAGUAUCCAAAGUCAUCUUUUAUUUCUUUUAAUAUAAAUGUUUUAAUAUAAGAGUAAGAGAAAUAAAAUAUAAAAUCUAGAAAAUUUUCUAUGAAAUACCAUACAAAAAGUAACAAUCUUUUAAGGGAACGGGUAUAAUAAAAUUCAAAAAAUUCUUCUAAUGUGUAUUCCCACAUAAAUGAUCCUUUUUAUUUGACCUACAAAAACAAAAAAUAAUUAAUUAUAAUAAAUUAAUAAACCCGGCAUAACUCGGGUGAGACCCGACCUUUUUUUUAUAUAUUUUUUAAUAAACCCAAAAAAUGUAAAGUUAAUGUGUGAAUACUUUAACUUUUUCAUGUGGGAUAACUAUAUUUAUAGUCUAUAUCCUCAUAGAAUAUUUCUUAACCUACACUCACAUGAGAUAACAUACACUCACAUGAAAUGUUUCAGAUAGCUAUAUAUAGCCUAAAACCACAUGAAAUGUUUCUUAACUUUUUUAUAUGAGAUAGCUAUAUAUAGCCUAAAACCACAUGAAAUGUUUCUUUUCCAUGUGGAAUAUUAAAACCUCAAAAUAUUUUUUAAAUUUUUUACCGGGUUGACCCGUUUUGACCCGGGUAACUCGUAUGACCUGGACCCGGCCCCUUGGUCGGGUCAACCCUCAGGCCAGGUUUAAUAACUAUGGUGUACACACUGUCAUUUUAAUGUGGAUUUACACAAUGAAAUGAUCAUUUUGUUAUUUUUAAACAAAAUCAUUUAACUUGCUAUUGGAGGUAAAACAGUCUUUUUCAUGGGAUCCAUCUAUCAAUGUCAUAUUGAUUUGGGAGGUCCUGAUCUUUUUACAUUUUAGGUGCAUAUUAAAAUGACUUAAAUACCAUUAAAAGCAAAAAAUAAAUAAAACUGGGGACAUGGAGCUUUUUGAUUUUUUAAUAUUUUGAUUGCACAAUGAAAUGACUAUAUUUUUCUUAAAAGAAAAAAAAACUGAUAUAAAAAAGUAUUUUAGUCGCUUCAUUAUGGUUUUUAAGUCAUUAUCAAUUUUAAUAAGGGGCAUUUUAGUCUUUUAACAAAUAUAAAUAUAAUAAAAAAUUAAAAGAUGGUAAGCGCGUGCCACGUACACACUAGAGAGAGAAGGGCACUAAUGCCUUUUGAAUUGUGUCUGGCACCUCCUAGCGAUCAAAUGCCGCUAAUAUUUUUCUUUUCCUCCCUCCUCUUUCUCCUCGUCUUAGAUUUCACGCCAACCAUUUCAAAUAUCAAACAUGUCUUGUUAGUUUGUAUUUAUAUCAAUUUUGGUCUUCAUUCUUUUGAUUGCUAUUUGUUUUGUUUUUACGGCUUUUUGAAGUUGAUUUUUUAUUUAUUUUGUCCCCCAAUAUUUUACUUCAUUUAAUUUUUGUAUCUAAUUUGGUCUUUAUUCUUAUGAUUACUAUUUUGUUUUUGUUUUUAAUCCUUUUCUUGAUUUGUUUUUUUAAUUUUAUCCCUUAACAUUUUAUUUCAUUUAAUUUUUGUAUCUUAUUUGUAUCUUAUUUUUUUUAUUGCUAUUUUUUGUUUCUAAUCGUUUUCUUGAUUUAAUUUUUUUUUCAAUUUUGUUUCUCAACAUUAUAUUUCAUUUAAAUCUUGUAUUGAACUUGGUACUCAUUUUUUUUAUUGCUAUUUGUUUUUUUUUUAAUGGAUGAUUAGGAUUUAGGAAUUUUGCUUCAUAAUUUUUUUUGUGUUUGCCUUCUAAAGGGCAAUUAUGGUCUCAUGACAUAGGUCACGGAUUUUAAAAAUUAGCCCGGUUUAACUUCGGUCUUUUUUAGGCCAUUGAUUGCUUUUAUGUGGGGUUAUCCCGAUCUUAGAUUUUAGAUCAUAAGUUGGUCGAGUUAACCCGAGUUGACCCAAGUUUUUUUUUUCAUUUUUUAAAUUGAUUUUUUUAGAUUAGUCUUUCAUCAUUUAGUUUGCUUAAGAGUUGACCUUCAUCGUUUUAUUCAAUUUUUUAUGUGUGAGUUUAUCCAUAUCUCAUGACCAGGUCGUGAAUUUGGUAUGCUGACACGGUUUUUUUUAUCCUUUUUAAAAUUGAUUUUCUUUCUAGAUCGUCCUUAAAUGUUUGCUUUGCUGAUAAUUGAGCUUCAUAUUUCUUUUAUUUUUUUAUGAGGUUAUCCCGUUCUCAUUCGAUUUUGUUUUGUUAUCAAAUAAGAUCGUUAAGACUUUUUAAUAAUAUUUAGAAGGUCUAUUUUUGUAAUAUUUAUAAGCAUUUAUUUUUUUAUUAGUCAUUAUCAUUUUUUAUUGUUAUUUGAUUUUUUUAAUAAUCAAAUUAUUAAAUUAAGAAACUUUAUUGAAUCCAUUCAAAUCAUUGAUCUGUCUCAAAUUUUUCUUUCUCUUUUAAAAACACUAUCAUUGUCUGGACAUUUUUUUUUAACAAUAGAAAACAUUUUGUUAGGCCCGCGUCACAGGGUGGGCUACGUUUCCUAUUUUCUUAAGAGAUAUUCAUAAAAGAAGGGUAGUAUUUGGAAUUUGAUGUUAGUUUAUGUAAAGUUUUUGUUUUUUUUAAUAUAUAUAUUGGGAAUGUAGUUUACAGGAAGUUGUAAAUGUAUCGAUGCUGAGGCUAUUUAUCCUAAACCAAAGCAUAUUUGUUUUACAUGUAAGGCUCCGUUUGUUUGCAGGAAAGUUGUUUCCUUUUGGAAAGUGAAUUCCGGGGAAAGUGAAUUCCGAGAAAGUAUUUUCCGAUGUUUGGUAGUGUUAUGGAAAAUGAACUGGAAAACACUUUCCAGUGUUUGGUUAUGUUAUGGAAAAUGAACUGGAAAAUAAUUUAUUAAUGAAUUAAUUUUUUUUCAAGUUUAUCUAAUAUAUAUUAAAUAUUUAAUAUAAAUAUUUAAUCACUUACAAUAAAAGAAUGAAAUCUAAAAAGUAUAAUGAUGAAUUUUUUUAUUAUAUCUUAUAUUCAUACAUAGCUUAUUUUAUAAAAUAUAACUAUAUAUGUCAUAUCAUAUUAUAGAGAAAUAAGCUUGUGAAAUAUUUUUUAAGUUAAAUAUAUUUUUUUUCAAUUUUAAAAGCUUAAAAUAAGUUUUUUUUUUUAUAUGAAGAAAGCCAAAUUAGUUUAUGGUAAGAGUUAUAUAUUACAUUAGAUUAACAACUAUUUUAAUUUUAAUUUUUCGUCACUGGGAACCAAUUAAAUUUAAUUUAGAAACAAAAAUGUCUUGUAAUUACAAUAAAAUGAUUUAUAAAAUCCUUAUGUUUGGAUGCUGGGCCACCCACCCCCCUAAAAAAACGUUCACAUGUUUGUUCACAUGUUUUGUGAACAAAAGAAAGGAAAAUGUUUUCCUUAAAAUAAGGAAAGGAAAACACUUUCCUGGCUUAAAGUGUAUUAUCUUCCUUUGACCGGAAUUUGAAUUCCUUUGACUAGUUUUCCUUAUAGUUGUCAAACAUUGGAAAGUGGGGAAAAUGGUUUCCAGGAAAAUGAAUUCCUGGAAACAAACAAGGCAUAAGGUUGAAGUGUGAUUAUAAACCCUUUUGAUUUGUACUAGAUUUUUUUUACCUGCGCUACGUUGUGGGAUGGGUUUAUUUUUUUAAUAUAAAAAAGAUAUUCAAAUAAUGAUAACAUGAGUGAAUUCAGAUUAACUUAACUAACCUGCGAUUCAAGUUAACCCUAGAGAAAUGAAAGGGAAAAAAUAGAAAGCUCAAGGCCUAAUAAAUCUAAUUUCAAAGGAUAAAAUUAAAAAAAAAGAAACAUGAAAGAAAAAAAACCCGAGUUAACCCAACUUUACUCUAUUAACCUACCACCCAUGACAUGAGAUUGGGAUAAGAAAUUUAAUUUUUUAAAAAUGACUUAGAAAAAAGGAUCAAAGCUAAAUAAAUAAAAAAACAUUGAAGAAAAACCAAGUCACCCUAGGUUAACCUAACAAACCUGUAACUUGAGAUAACCCUAUAGAAAGAAAUAAUAUAUAAAAUCAAAACCUAAUAGCCCUGCGUAAAAGGAUGAAAAAAAAAGAAAAAAAAAUCCAAUGCAACUUGUGUUAACUUAACUAACCCAUGACUCAGGAUAACCCUAGAUAAGGAAAGGAAAAAAAAAUAGAAAGCUCAAGACUCAAUACCCUAAAGUCAAAGGAUGAAAUUAAAAAAAUAAAACAAAUCAAAGUUAAAAUCAGGCUAAUCUUUAAAACCAUCAACUCUUGUCAUGAGACCAAGAUAACCUUACAAAAGACAAACAAAACUCUUCACCAUAAUAUUUUUUUUUAAAAAAUAGUAAUACAAUUAAUGAGGACCUAAUUUGAUCUAAAAACUAAUGAAAGAAAAUAAUAAGGGACUUAAUAAAAAAAUAAAAGGAUAAAAAAAUUUAAAAGAAUUAGGGCUAAAACUAGAUAAAAAAUGAAAUAAAAUGUUGAAGGACAAAUUGACAGAAAAAACAAAUUAAGAAAAGGAUAAAAAAAAAGCAAUUAUAAGAAUAAAGACCAAAAUUUGAUUAAAAAAAUAAAAUGUUAAGGGAAUAAUUGAAAGAAAAAAAGAAACUAAGAAAAAGGAUAAAAAAAAAGCAAUUAAAAGAAUGAGGAAUCAAUUUGAAAAAAAAAAGUGAAAUAAAAUGUUAAGGGACAAAAUUAAAAGAAAACAAAACAGGCCAUGAUAUGGAAAAAAAAUAGUAAAGAGAAUGAGUACUAUAUUUGAUAUAAAAACAAAACAAAAUCAAAUGAAAAAAGGAUGAAAUUGAAAAAAAAUCUAAAAAAAAAUCUAAAACAAUGAAAGACCAAUCAAAAGAAAGAGGAUUAUAAUUGAAAGACAAAAUGUAUUAGAGGACAACUUUGAUUUUUGGCUGACGUAGCACAAAUUUCAAGAAUUGAAAAGAGAAAACAAGGGGACGAAAAGAAAAGUCAACUGUCGACAAACCACCAUGAUUUGAGCAACACGCGCUACCCCAUAAGCUUUGCCUCCACCGGACACUUUAGACAAAAUCUUGGUUGGGAAAUUUUGGUCACUGCUUGACGAGCGCAGAUAGCGUCCACUCCCUAACACGCGUUGUUCACGGGCUAGUAGCCUUUUUUAAUUUAUGAAAAUAAUAAUUUGCCCUAAUCCAAAUAGAGUAUAAGAAAAACUAUAAUAAAAAUAGUAAAAUAUCCUUUGACCAUCUUUUUAUUUUAUUUUUACUUUGAAGUCGAUGAGGUAAUUGUACUAUUUGUAAAAAAAAAGAAAUUAUACAAAAGCUUUCUUAGCCUUUCAUAUUUUUUUUUUGUCUUUUAAAGGCAUUUAUUUAAUUCAAUUAUACUAAAACAAUGUAAACUACUAAACUUUCCCCAAUAAAAUUGCAAAUGAUCUUUGGGUUUUAUGGAAAAUACCAUUCUAGCACCACAAGUAAGGCAAAAACUUUAUACAAAGAAGGGCAAAAUAGUAAUUAUGCUGUCCAAGUCCAUAGUGAAUUACCUCAACAUCCACAACGAAACAAUGAUCAGUUUUAGAGUUUUUUUUUUAUAAUAUUUAUAAGAUAAUAUAUUUUAUGGCCUCACAUAGAAUUCAAAUGCUUAAUGAUAACUCAAAGAAAAAACUCAUUUGUCGACAAACUAAGCCUGCAAUAUUGUAAUUCUUUUGUUUCCUAAAUUAAGUGUAAAAGAUAAUUUUGUCCGUGAUCUAUUACACCACUUUAAAUAUGAUCCUUAAAAACAAAAAAAAAAUCCUACCAGGUCCCUCAUCUAUAGGAUAUUUACUUAUCAAUUCUCAAUUUAAUUUUUCCCCUUUAAAAUCAUAAAAAAAACUUAGUCAUUUUUUUCAAUGCAAUUGGAGCAAAUGAUCUCUUUUUUUCAUCUCUAUUUUUUUCUAGCGACUAUCUCUCAUCUCUCAUACAUAGAGACUAAAAUGUUGAAAAAAAAUAUCAAAGGACUAAAUCAAGUCGACAUUUGUUUGACAACGCAAUAACUCAAUGGUAAUCAAAUUGAUACAAAUUAUGAAACCUGGUCUAUAAUAAACACAAUGUCAAAAGAUUAAAUAAAAAAAUAAAAAAAAAAAUGAAAUCAAGAGCCACUCUAGAUUCCUUCUUAAUGUUUGCCCUUCAUGGUAUGUUGUUCUCACUAAAAUGGAUUUUAUGAAAUUUAUUAUGUUUUGCCUUAUAAAUGCAUGAAUUGAAGUUUAAUAAUCACAUUAAAACCUUACACACGAAAAACAACUUACCUGUAAUAAUAAUGGUAUCAGAAACUCUUUUGGUAAGCGAAUGGUUAUGGAUGUUAAGUCAUGACUUCGUCAUAGUAGAGCACCCUGUAGCUUUUUAAAAGAAAAAAACAAGGGACCUGUAAUGUUUAUGUUUGUUUGUUGCUGUGUCUAACAUAUACCACCAAUCGAUCUUGAAUCUGUGUUUAUAAUCACAGCUGAAAUUAUGUUUUUUUUUAAUUUUCUAUUUUUUUUAAUUUUUUUAUGUUUUUGAAUUGUUUUGAUGUACUGAUAUCAAAAAUAAUUUUUAAAAAAUAAAAAAUAUAUUAUUUUGAUAUAUUUCUGAGUAAAAACAUUUUAAUAAACAACCACUAAUAAACUUUCAAAUAUCAUCUUAACCAUACAUUUGAAUGGUCAUUCAAUAUUUCUAGUGUUCUUACUUAUUGGUGAAUUGAUGAUGCACAUGUUAUCAUCAAUAUUUGUAAUUUCAAAAUCACUUAUGUUGCUUCUACAAAAAAACCAAAAAACUAAUAAGGUUUUUUUUUAUCAUAAUUUUUUUUUCUUAUUUAGACUAUUUAUGAUAAGUGUUUUUUUAUUCAUUUUACGCUUUAAUUAAGAUUAAAAAUUUCUUUUAAACAAUUUUAAAGAUGCACUUCCAAUAUCCUGAUUACUAAAACAUAAAUCAAUCUUAAAAAAUAAUUUUUUAGCAUGCAUAAAAUGUAACUCAUUAAUUGUUUUUUCAAUUUUGAUUUAGUAUUGAAUAAGAAAACUUAAAAAGAUAUUUAUUAUACUAUAUUAAUUAAGUUUUUUUGUCAUGCUUCAUAACCCAUUUUUUACCCCCAGUUUUUUUCAUGUAUUUUCAAAUAUAUAAUUUUUUUAAAGAAUUUAUUUUAAAUGAAAUUUAGUCAAUUCCCAACGUUUUAUAUUUUUUUCAUUUUCAUUUAUUUUAUUUUAAGUGACAAAGAAAAAUAAAAAACUUAAAAACAAUAUAUAGUAAAAAGAAAAAUAAAAAAUUUAGGGAGUGAAAUCACAUGCAAAGGAAGAAAAAUGAAAGACUAGCAAAUGAAAAAUAAUAAUAAAUAAAUAGAGAAUCAAGAUGGGAUUGGAAAAACUGUAAAAAACAAAAAAAACCUAAUUCAAUAAGGAGAUAAAAUAGAAUCUUCCAAUAUUAUUAUUUUUUUUUGACAAAAACCCUUAACAAUAUAAAUAAACAUAAAAAAAAACCUAGAUGGAGAAAAAAAAAGAAGAAAAAACAUAAAAGGAGUCAACUUUAGAAACACAUAGACUAAGAGAGAGAUAAAAAAAGAGGAGAAAAGAUACAAAAAAGGGACAAAGAAAACCUUGCCACAUCUUUUUCAUCUUCUCUCCUCUCUCAAUCACAACUGCGAACCAUUGUUCUUUUCUCCCUCUUCACCACCAAUACCUCCACAAACAUCGACCAUGAUAGUUUCUCCCUCCACCACAUCUUUAUCUCUCUACCCGAUCACAAAACAUCCUUGUUAUUAACUAUAACCUUGGAAAUCAUAGCCACCACAUUAACUAAAAUCGCACUUAUCUCUCUUAUCAUUAUAAAACACUCCAUGGUAGCAACCCUUUGGCAUUCAAUAACCAUGAUCAUAACCAAUAAAGAGAAAAUUGACAAAUAAAAUUUAUCUUUUCAUGUCAACCUCCCUUUUCAGAUCACGACAAGCUUUAUCAUCAACGUAGAAAGGAAAAGAAGGAGCAUGAGAACUUGAUCUAGUAGGUUUAAGGUUUUCAACCUUGUCAUUUUGUACAGUUUAUGUGUUACUUCGUUUACAUGCUUGUCUAGCUCCUGCACAUGACUCCCAUCUGCCACGACUACCCGUUUUUUUAGUAUCUUUUGUUCGAUUCCAAUCGCUCUUGAAGGUCAAAUACGAAUCCUAAUACAUUGAUUCACUUGUUUUUAUCAAUUUGCAAUAUGUGGUUGAUUUCCUAUUCGUAGAUGUUGUAUUUGCCUACAAUGAUUUGCUUGUGUUGAGUAAUUUAUAAUACGAGGUUGAUUUUCUAUGUGUGGAUGUAUUUGUUUUUUUUAUUGUGAGAUUUGUGCUUUAAUUUUCUUAAAAUGAAAAGUUAUGUUUUAUUUUUAUUGAAGAAUUGACCUUGAGUAUGGUAAAAUGGUUUUGUCUUCAUAUGACCAUUUAAGUAUGGUAAAAUGGUUUUUAUUGAAGAAUUGACCUUGAGUAUGGUAAAAUGGUUUUUAUUGAAGAAUUUGCACAUCCAUUAAUUAGUCUUACUUUCAAACCCGAUGGUUUUUAUUGAAGAAUUUGCACAUCCAUUAAUUAGUCUUACUUUCAAACCCGAGUUAUGUUUUUUUCUUCAUAACCUUUUCAAUUAUGGACUGAAAAAAUAGAUUUUAAAAUCAAUUUAGGGGAUUUUUUUAUAAGGUUUUGGAAAAGAUAAGAAUAAUUGAUUUAUAACUUGCAAUUUAGGCAAAAUCACAUCACAAGUAAAGAGAAAAUGAAUCGAUUGAAUAUGCAAGACUAGGCUUUAGUUUUUAUGAUAUUUUGUGUUCUUAGAUAGGAGAGAAGAAAGAGAUUAUAUUUUUAAAUUAAUUUGGGAUUUUUUAGGAGCAUAUUUUGGCUAUUUAUGUUAUAUUAUAUAGGAGGGUAGGUUUGGGUUGUUUAUGUUCACAAGUGCCUUUUAAAAAUAUUUUGCUUGUUGGUUUUUUUUUUUGCCCCUUUAGUCUGAUAGUUCUAUGUUUUGAUAUAAAACUUUAUUUAAUUCACAUUCCAAUUCCCGGGUUUGAAAAAUGAGAUUUAUUGGAAAAUUAUGGAGAGAGAAAGUAAUGGAAUGGUGAGAUUUCGUUGAUAAAAGGUUAAAUUUGGUGUCAAUGUGUUUUUCUUGGCAUAAGAAGUGUUAUUGAGGUAUUUUUGAGCUUUUAUGUUGUUAGAAAAAAUAGAUCGAGGUUAAGAGAAUUUUUUUUUUUAUGCUUUUGAGUUAAUUUAGAGGUUUUUAAGUUGAUAAAUAAAUUUAUCGUGAUUUAAAGGGUAUUUUUGGAAGUAAAAAAAUUGAAAUUUAAUUUUUUAAGUCCUAAAAAUCCUAGCUUGAUUUUCCACCAUCUCUCUAAUGGGUGAAAUUUGAACUCACAAAUAACACAUCAUCUACUUUCUUUUUUAACUCAUUAAAAAAGUCUAAAGGCAUGAACAUGGCCUACUUUUAGGUUUCUUUUUAAUUUCUUUUUAAUUGAAAUUUAAUUUUUGUAAUAUUAAAUAAUUUAAAAUAUUUUAGAUAUUAUUUUAUUAAAUGCCUUUAAAUUUUUACCUUGUUUCUGAAAAAAUAUAUCAGUCUUUUUAUAACAUUAAGAAAUGUUUUUUUUACAACUUAUAAUGAUUUUUUAUAAUUUUAUUUGGUUUCUUUUCCAUGUGCAUGUAUUUUUGCCAUCAUAUAAUUAAAUAAAACGAUAAUUUUUAAAAAAUAAAGUUAUUAAAAUCAAUAAGAUGUGUGAGCUUGAAUCAUGAUUUUAGUGAGUUAACUCAAGUCAAUCCAAGAUGUUUUCAUCUCAAUAUUUUUUAAAAAAAUGUCAUCUUUAAUUAAUUUUAAACAAAAUUAAUUUUUUAUUAGUUACCGAGAUUACCUUUGAACCCUUUAGAUUGAGCAGAUCAUAUCAAAUUAAUUUUCACAUGGUUUAAUUUAAAAUUUAGAUAAAAAUUUAAAUUAAAGGUUUUAAAAAUUACUUAACCCUAUUAAAGAAUCCACUAUAACAAUACAAGAACAUUGUUUUUCCAGCUGUGAUGUCUUUUAGUAAGGAAACGUUUCAGAAUGUAAAUGAUAUUUUUUAAAAAAUUAAUUUUUUUUUGUUUAAAUUUAAUUUUUUUAUAUUUUAUUUUUUUUUGAAAUUUUAAUAUUAAAAAUAACUUAAAAAUUAAAAAAUAUUUAAUUUAUUUUUAAACAAAAUUAUUUUUAAAAAAACCACCACUAAUAUAAUCUUAAAUAUUAUAAAAAAUGCAAAAACAAUAUAAAACACAUUGUAUCCAGAAAGAAAAUAAGAAGACGACUCGCACGCGCACACUGAGAGAGUCAGAUAUUUACCUGCAAAAACAGAAUGAUGAACAAAAAAACCCAUUUUUGAUAAGCUAAGAAAGAAUUCAAAUCUCGCUCUCGUUGGGUUUUAAAUCUCAUUUUCGGAGCCAAAUCCAUUUCUAAAACUUUUUCUUUCUUUUGUUGGCUAAUGUAGGUUGCCUUCUGUUAAUGUUGAGGUUUUGUUUUGUCUAGUUUGGUAUCAUAAUUCUCUUAUGAAUCAGUUUCCCAUGGAAUUCCAUUGAUUUGAUUUAUUAGAACAGAUAGGUAAGAAUUGAAUUCCCUUUCGUUAUUUGAAAGGAUAAAUGGGUAUUAGUGCAUUUGGGAUUUGAUUGAAAUUUAAAAACUGGGUUUUGUUUUCAGGAGUAAUUGCUGGUGGGUUUUGCGACUUAGACCCUGAUUUUGAGGAAACAGGGGGUUUCUUUCUUUUGGUUUGGCAUUGCAUAAGGAGAGGGGAAGUAGAGUUGUAGGUAUUAAAAAUCAGGAGAGAAGUGGGUUUUGGCUUUUGACAGAGAAUGAUUUGUAUAGGAGAAAAGGUGACAUGAGAAGUAGAGUUAUUGUUGGUCCAGAGGUACAAUGAAUGGAGGGUCAUUCGGUCAAAGGGGGAGUUAUGGAUCAUUGCCUUGCUACGGAAAAUUAUCAAAUAUUGCACGAAAACAAUCUUCGAAAAUGCCGCCAGUGAGUUCAAGGGACAAGGAGCGGGUUCUCCUGGUUGUUUGCCGGUGCUUGGGGCGUAGAAGAGUUGCAAUGUUGCUCUUGGUUGCACUUGCUCUCCUAGUUUUCAUCUGGGGUUCCCUUACAGUUAGCAAAGGUAUGGUUCAAACAUGUGUCCUUUCCUAUGAUGUAAAAUGUUUGAGUGUUUUAUGUAUUCUUUUGUUCUACCUGUCCUUAUAUUUUGGUACUGUUGCACUGAGUUACAGGAGGAUGAAAGUUUUCUAAUUACAAGGAAAUAAUCACUUAACAAAGGAAUAGUUUAGGCACCUAUUUAUUAGUUCAUGCUGACUAUUCUAUAUUUAACAGAAAAGAUAAAAUGUAGUAGUGUUUUAAUUCUAUGAGCAUCUUUUAAUUUUUCCUGUUGUUUGAAUGGAAAUGUUUAAGUCAUGUAUUAUUCAUGUCUUGAGAGCAGCUGUAGCAUGCAGUGAGGAGGGGGGGUGGGGAACAAGAAAUAAAGAGGUGGAGGUGGUUCUUCAUGAAUUUUGGUUCCCAUAUAGGUGUGGGCCAUGAUUGAAUAAUGGCCUUGUUUCUAUUAGUUCUCAUUCUGUGCUAAAUCCUUGACAGGAAAGCUGACAGCCAGAGAGUCUUCUUCUUUCUCUCUCUCUAUUUUCAAUCUUGAAUGGAAAGCAUACGAAGACAAAGUUGUCUUCUUGAAUUUAAAACAGGAGAUAAUCAAUCGAUUACAAAUAUUGAUCAGAAUGAAAGAUUCUGUUAUCAAGUUAUUUUUCUGCAUUUAAUUGAUGAUGUCAAAGUCCUGAAAUACUUGGGAUUUUUACUGCUAUUUGUUUUGCUUUAGACUGGUUGAGGCAAUAACUAAUGUGCAUUUUGUGUUAUGGAUGCCCCAGAAACCACAAGUCCAACUGUUAGACCAAUGGAUAGUAUACAUUUUGACAACAGUGAUAUAAUAAGCCAUCCUUCUGUUGCCUGUCGUUCUAGAGCUAAUAGCAUAUUGGACCAUCCAUGCCACAAGUUUGCUCUCCCUCCUCCCCCUCCUUCUGGUGGACGACGGUUUGGACCACGCCGUAAGUUUUGGGUUAUUUUGGUUGAAGUGUUCCUUAUUUUCUUGUUUUUCUGAUCAUUCUAUUAAUAUAUUGGAUUGGACCAUAAGUUUGAGUUGCUACAUCUGUGCGUCAUUUGGAAGUAAAAAAUGACUUCUGGCCUGAAUGUUACUAAAAGUCAUGUAUAUAAUUUUUCUUGCACCAAGAAUGUGCUCUCACAUUUCUGUAACAGAGAAAACUGGCAUGUUUUUGCAAUUAAUGUUAUUAUCUUUCUCAUCAGUGUUUGCUACAGAAGACCUCUUGCAUGUUCAAUUGUAAAUUGAUACAAAAUAACCCUCAAUACCUUUGUAUAAAGUAUGCCAAAAUCUACUCUCUUAGUUGAAGCAAAAAAGUGCUCACAUGCAAUUUAUUUCUGUUGGUGUGGUAUUUACUUUGUUGUCACUCAUUUGUUAUGCAGCUUGUCCAGUAUGUUACAUUUCUGCAGAGCAAGCUAGAGCUAGCAUUCCAUGCUCCUCAUCUGCAUCACCAGUGCUCCGCAACUUAACAUACGUUGUUGAUGAAAACCCAAUUAAAAUUGAAUCACAUGGAGGUUCAGAAUUUGGUGGAUAUCCUUCUCUAAAGCAGAGGAAUGAAUCUUUUGAUAUACAAGAGUCGAUGACAGUGCACUGUGGGUAGGAGUCCUUCUCACCUAUCAUCUUUCUGUAAAAUUAUAAGCAUUGAAGACUGUUUUGCAUGGAUCUCAUGAUCUCUGUCCUCCGUUAUUAUACAAUGUCCUGUAACAAAUACGAAUAACUUAUUUCUUAUAAACACAUAUUUUUCUGUUGGCCGUAUUUUUUAUCAGAUUUGUUAAAGGAAAUAGACCUGGCCGCCAGACUGGAUUUGAUAUUGAUGAAGCUGACCUGAUGAAAUUGGAAGAGUUUCACGAGGUCAUUGUUGCAUCAGCCAUAUUUGGUACUGUUUAGCACUGGACAUUCUGCAAAGAUUUCUUGUUUUAUCCAUGUUUUCUACUUUCCUCAUCAUUGCACUUUCCCAGGGAACUAUGACAUAAUACAACAGCCCAAGAACGUUAGUGAAGCAGCUAGGAAAAAUGUUCCUUUUUAUAUGUUUAUUGACGAAGAGACAGAAACAUAUUUGAAGAAUUCCAGCGCCCUAGAUAGCAAUAUGAGGAUCGGACUGUGGAGGAUUAUUGUCGUCCAUAACAUCCCCUACACUGAUGCAAGACGCAAUGGAAAGGUCAGUUUGCAUUUGUUUGGUUGCUUUGCCUGCUUCUUUCAGAUUUCUCUCUUUAAUUUCCUUGGGCAUCCAAACCUGGGCUGGAUUACAUCACUUUCUUCUUAAUUUUUUUUCUUCCCCUUGUUCUCCUGCUUCUCUGUUAACUCAUUGAAAACAAAGCUAUCAGUUUGUUAACAAAUUUCUGUUUAUCUCUUGGUGAGUCUUCAAGUAAUUUCAAUUUUGGUGCUAAUCCUAGCAUGGCAGAAUUUCCUGAAUAAAUUUCUGUUGAUAUAUUAAUCUAAAAGAUUUUCCUUUUUUUUUCCUUUUCAUUUUUGUUUUGGGCUAUGAUAUUCAAUAGUACCUCAUACUUCAAGUCAUUUUCUUUUCAAUUACUGAAAACCUAAAAUGUUGCUGCAAGAAGUGAUGGAUGCUGUCGUUGUGCUAUGUAAAUGGACAGGUUCCAAAGCUUUUAUUGCACAGGCUCUUGCCUAAUGUUAGGUAUUCCAUAUGGAUAGAUGGAAAGCUCCAGCUUGUUGUGGAUCCAUAUCAAGUUCUUGAGAGGUAUAUUGUUUGUGCUUAAAUUAAGUGGUCAUUGAAUGGAGUCAUUCAGAUAUGUAAAAUGGCUUGUGAAUUCAGUGCAUCUUUUUUUUUAAUUUUUCUGGUAUCUUCAAAUUGAGAUGUAUGGAAAUUUUGUUGUACCUGUGUGUGUAUACUCAUUUUCUUCUGUUAUCUGUCACUGUACCAAUUUCUGGUCCCAACAUGGCAUCACUUCAAAAGUUAUGAACCAUCAUAAGUUUCAUUGGUUCAUCAAUAGGCAACUUACGGGAUUCUGGAAAAAUGCAUGGAAAAUAUAAUUAUAGCCGUAUGCUCUUUUUAUCAGCUGUCUUGCAAUGUUAACAUUAUUACACUGUUAUUGAUCCUACAUUUUCAUUUAAAGCAUUCAAAAAAGGAACUGCUUUUCUUGCUUGGGACAUGGGAAUGUCAUCUUUCUGUUGGUUUACAGUAACUCAUGCUUUGGCAAUGUGUUCUGGAUAUGUUGACUCAUGUUAAGACAGUUUUUUUAGUGUUAGCAUUUACCAUAUAGAUCUUCAUGCAUAUUGCAUUUCUGGCCUCUAGAAGAAGGGGAAAUAGGUAGAUAAUUUUAGUAUAAUUGCAUAAUCUAUGUGUUUGAAUCAUACCUGAGCUGUCCUUUGGUUCAGAUUCUUGUGGCAGCAAAAUGCCAGUUUUGCAAUCUCAAGACACUAUCAUCGCUUUGAUGUGUUUGAAGAGGCUGAAGCUAACAAAGCUGCAGGAAAGUGUGACAAUUCAUCCAUUGAUUACCAGAUUGAAUUUUAUAAAAAAGAGGGUUUAUCGCCAUAUUCCAAGGCUAAGCUUCCAAUAACCAGUGGUAGGUGUAUAAUCCUAUGUGUGUGCGCACGCGCUUCAUGUUCUUGAAGAUUUGUAUUUCUUAUGUUUUCUGCUCAAUGACUGACCUUUUGCAGAUGUUCCUGAAGGUUGUGUUAUCAUAAGGGAACAUAUUCCCAUCACAAAUCUGUUUACCUGCCUGUGGUUCAAUGAAGUUGAUCGGUUUACUGCCAGAGAUCAGUUAAGCUUCUCCACUGUGAGGGAUAAAAUAAUGGCUAAAGUUGAUUGGAGCAUCAAUAUGUUUUUGGAUUGUGAGAGGCGUAAUUUUGUGAUUCAGGUACAUGUUUAUGUGUUGUCUUUCUAUUAUCAGGGGAGAUGAAACCAGUGCAUCUAAAACUAAGCAAUUUGUUAUUGUUCUGCUCUAAAUGAACCUUAUAAGUGAACUUUUCUAAUGAAGUUGGCCAAAAAAGCUGAAUGACUUUAAUUUUAUUGUUAUAUUAACUUAUGUAUUUUUUUUCCUUCCAUGUUUAACAUUGAGCAGCACCUCCUUCCUCUGUUGAAAGAGGAAAGUAUGACAAUUUAUUAUUGGUCUGCUCUAUGUUGCCUGUUUGUCUUAUUUAUUAUUGGUCUGAUUUUAGCCGCAAAUGUUCCUUGUUUCCCAAACACAGAGUUCUGGCAACUAAAUGGAUCCUCUGACAACAGUGUAUUGAACAAAGCUGUCCAGCUACUAUAUACAGUGCACGAGACUGAUCUCUAUGGGUGUCUUUGAUCCCUUCUCUAUUUUUUGAUCCUCCAAGUGUUUCUUUGGGUGUUUAAUGUGGUUACUCCAUGCAUUUUAUCAUGUUCUCCAUACAAGUGACAUUUGAGGCUAAAUUCCGUCCUGGGAGUGCAGCUAGUAUGCUUUGACCAAAUGAUGCUAAAAGCAGGAACGAUCAAAUAAAAACAAUCUUUAAUGGGGAUAAUUAACUUGGAUUUAAAAAAUAAAACUCCUAUGCUUUGGGAUGCUAAAUCCUACUACUAUUAGUUUCUCUGUAACAAAAUGCCACUGUUUUAUGGUACUUUUAUGCCACUUGAUUUUUCUUUUGACUUGCAGGCUUACCACAAAGAUUUAUUGGACCACAUGCCACCUCCAGUUGCUCAUGUUAUUCGACAUCCACCACCAUUACAUCGUGAUAGUUCAGCUGGGAGAAACCCAAGUAAAAAUUCAAGGCGUGGAAGAGAUAGGAGAUCUGGUUCAAGGCAACACCGCAAGGCUGCUGCGGGUAACAGGGAGAAGCAAACCUUUUUGUAGGAGAGGUAAAAGUAGGUGUUUUUUAUUUUUUUUCAUUAUACUGCACGGGGAAGAUGGAUUUGGUUAGAAGUAUUUAGAAUGACCCAAAAACAAAAGCAACCGAAAUUUUGUUUGAAAUUAUUGAUAUCUCAUAUUCUUUCAUUGUUGUAAAUACUUCAUACCAAAUAAGUCCACACCAGCUGCAAUCAUUGAAUGCUUCUUGAUUUUCAUUUACUUGGUGCACGAACAUGCAUUGGCCAUCACUUGUGUAUCUUGAAAAUGUCAGCUUUCAUGCUUUAUGCGUUGUCCAGUUAUAGAAAUGGAAGAUAUACUUUCUACAUUGGCCAUCACUUGUGUAUCUUGAAAAUGGCAGCUUUCAGGCUUUUUGCGUUGUCCAGUUAUAGAAAUGGAAGAUAUACUUUCUAUCCUCUAUACAAUAAAUACCGUGCCAUCCUGAGUGCGGAGCGACUAAUCCUUGUUCUUAGGAGUGUUGUUCAUCUUCUCUUUUGAGCUAUUAAGAUGCACUGCUUAUUCUGCUUUUCUAAGCUUGAAUCUGAUCUUUCCUUCAUGUGUUCUUCCAAGGUUUUGGGAAUGAGUUGUUUAAUUCUAGGGCAUUUGUAAGAUGAGAAAAUCUUAGUGUUUUCAGGCCUACGGAAUGUUUCCUAACCUGUGACUGUACAAGUAAAUAGGAAGAUUUCUGAACUGGCCUCGUCCAUGCUCUUACCUCAAUACCCAGAUUGAAAAUUUUGGUACCCUAUAUGUUGAAUCUCAUGUUUCUCCACUCUUAUCAAAUCCUCAACUAAAUUCAAAAGCAGGAAUUGAAAGUGGAAGGAUAGAUUAUCCUUCAACCCUACAGACAGCACAUAACAUGAUCCUUCAACCCUACAGACAGCACAUAACAUGAAAGGGUCUCACAGGAGAGGAGAGGAGAGGCCUAUCAGCAAGAUACAAGUUCCAGUGGUGAGAAUCGACCAUACACUUAAAAUAACAUACAAUGAAGUAUACCUGCAAAAUAUAACAGCUGUAUUGAAUACAAUAAUGGCUUCUUCUCUGUGAUGAUAAUAUAAUAAUGUGGUUUUGUCAUUCGAUUUGCAUACAGAACAGAGCAAUACAGCUUGAGAUAUGUUAAAAGUAUUCUAUGGAUCCAUUUUUUCAAGUGCAUGCCGAAAGCACUUUUGACAAUUAAAAGCAACCUCAAGUUUUAGCAAGUUCGAGUUAAACUAUAAAGGUUCACACUUUUUAGGCAUUGAUUCUCAUUUUCUGUUAAUUAUUUCUUACUCUUACAGUUCAUUUUAUAAACAAUUUUCUUAAUUCGAUGAUAAAAGAAAUAUCUUCCUAGUAUCAGUUAAAAUUUGAUAACACCUGCAGCUCAACUAAUAAGAUGCAUCGAAGAUGAUGUUGAAGUUAACAAAUUGUCAUGACACUUCCUGUUAGCUUUUUUCUCUUGUUUAAAAUUAUUAUUUUGAAAUUAUUUUAAUAAGCUAAUAUUAAAAAUAAAUUUUAAAAAAUAAAAAAAAUAGGACAUGAUAAAAGUUAUAUUUAUUACACCCUCUGUAGAUUUCUCGUGAGGAAGAAAGGUCGUGUGAACUUGAUCCUCCUACAUGACGAUACAUGGAUUCUAACUUCCAAAAAGCAAAAAUAAAAAAUUCCAAAAAGAGCUUUUCUUCUACAUUUAAGAUAAUUAGAAACACAAAGGGUAGAGGGUCGGCCAGUGAACAUGUGACCCACAAAUGUGGGAUUGCUAAGCACAAGAAGCAAAGAAAGGCAUAAAAAAACGAAGGCAUUUUGUGCAUGGGAGGAAGGUAUGGUAUGGGAUUAUUGAGAGCAAGAAAUCUCUAUGGAUUGCCACUUGAAAGGAUAUAAAACACCAAAUUAUUGCUUUCUCUACCACCUCUCUGUCCAAAUCUACAUACCUUAAUUAAAUAAGUCUGAGCCCACAGAAUUAUUAUAUCCAUUAAUUUAGCUCAAUUAUUAUAUCACCCAUAAAUGUCACAUCCAGAUCAGCACCAAUAAUUUUACCUUCCGUUCCAGUUUCAUUUCCCUUCAAUUUGUUUACAGCUUUAGGGUUUUGGGAUGCAAAAGGGUUUCCUGGAUCUGUCUCUCAACAUCUUGAAUUUGAGGUUAGGAUCCUAUAGUCUUUUAUUGGUGGAUUAAAGGGGUCUUAUAUUGAAAUUUGAGGUGGGGUUUAUGUGGGUUUUUCUUGUUUAAUACACUUUGAUUCAAGAUUUGUUUUCUUGGUACAAUUGGUGGGGGAGAUCAAGUUAUGGUCUUGAUUAAUGGGUUUAUCUUGGUUUUUGAGUCUUGGGUUGCUAUCGAAUUCUGGGCUUUAAAUCUUGAUCAAUGAUUCGAUCGUCUUUCUUCAAGAUCACACAUUUAAAAAAGUAGGUUUGAGGGCUCUUUCAAUAGGGUCGAUGUUACUCUUUUCUUGUAUUGUACUUUGGUAGCUAUGGUUUAAAGGCCUUUUCUUGUUGGGUUGAGCCAUUGUUUCUGAUAGAGUUAAAGAAAGGAGAGGGGAGAGUAGUUCUUUUUGGUGCUUGAUUAAAUGGGAUCCUCUGGCUUCUUUCUGAUAUGUAUGCUUCAUUCUGUGAUGGCUCUAACUUGUGGAGCUUUGAUGAUGUUUUACACAAAUGAGGCCACUGUGUUUGGUCAUGGCAUUGAAAUAGCUACAAAGCUUAAAGGUUCAACACCACAUGACCAACUCCUGGUCCAAACCUCUGAUUCCUUUUCUGGGUUGCUAUUGUUUGCCAUUGGGUUCCUUUUGUUCAUGGUGGCAUUUGUUAAGGACAGAGAGUUCCAGAGUUUCUUUGCUAAAGGUUGUGUCUUGCUACAUGUUUCAAUGGCUUUCUGGAGGAUUUACUUUGAGAGGAAGCUUGAAGAUCUGGCUCGUGAUUUGCCUAGACUAGUUGUUGGUGACAUUGCAUUGGCUCUUUCUUGGGUUUUCUUUCUUGUUUAUUCUUGGAGAGAGAAGUAUGAUUAGCAAGCUACAAGAGUCAGAUAGCCAGUCCAUCAUCGAAUAAAUUUGAGCUGUUAUUGUGGUAGCGUUACGGGUUCUGCCAAGUGGGAUCUUUUUUCCUGGCUCUGUUCUGUAAAUUACAGGGUGAAUCUGGAACUUUAAAGAAAUGGACGCAAAGCAUGGAUCGGAUUCUUGGUUAGUGCGCGUUUUAAAUUCUUGAUUGGAUCUUGAACAAGCUUGGAUUCCAAGAAAAGCUGGAGAUGAGAUCUGGGGGCUGCCAUUUUGUUUUUAAUUGAGAAUCUUCAACUUGAGAAGUUUCUUGCACUUACUGUGGUGCCUCUGUGGGCUUCUUGUAUUGAAUUUCAAUGGCAUUUGUAAAUCAACCUUCUUCAAAUAGAUAUUUGAUAAUAAUUAGAAAUGUGAAUCCCAUAAAAGUUUACUCGUUUGCUGCCAUCUCUUACUUUCCUGGCAAUCUUUUCUUGCUAUUUUUCCAGUCUAUUUGAUUUACUGAUAUUGCAAUUUGCACGCAUCCGCAGCUUUGAGUUUGGGACAAAACUAUGCCAAGACAUUUCCAGGAUUUUGUUAAGCAAUCCGAGGGAGGAAUGAUUUGUCUAAUUAAUCAAACGGCAAGAACUGUAAAUGGAGUCACACCAACUUUUAUUUUUUUAUUUUUUGGUUGUAUAUAUUAUAUGAAUUCUCAUCAUAUUAUAUCAUAUUAUUCGAGCUAUUUCCUCUUUGCAUUUCAAGAAUAAUUUGGAAAAAAAAAUAAUUUUAUUUAUUUAUUUUAAAUUAAUAAUUUUUUAAUAUUUUAAUAUUAUUUUGAUAUAUUGAUAUUAUUUAUCAUCAUAUUUUACAAGUUAUUUUGUAUUUGUAUUUUAAAAAUAUUUUUUUAAAAAAAUAUUAUAUUAUUACUAUUUUUAUUUAUUUUAAAUUAAUUAUUUUUUGGUGUUUUCAUAUUUUUUUAAUGUAUUAAUAUUAAAAAUAAAAAAAAUAUUAUUUUAAUAUAUUUUUAAAUAAAAAUUAUUUUAAAAAAUAAUUAUUAUUAUAAAAUCAAACAGAAUUUUAAUCUUUUAAUUUAUUGAAGAUUGACCUUAAUUUUUGUUGCAAACAUAAAAAAAAAAAGUUAUAAAGAAGGGGGAUUAUACGACUUCUUAUCUUUUCCGAUGCUGAAAUUUUAUCAUUCUAAAAAUAAUAAUUAUUAUUCCUAUAAUAAUAUUUUUUAUUUUGAAAAAUAACUCUUAAAUUUAUAUGGAAGGAAAACUAAAAUUUAUUGAAAAUUAUUUUUAGUUGGUUUGAGAGUGUGAUUAUUUUUUAAAAUAUUUUUAAUUUAAAAAUAUAUUAAAAUAAUAUAUUUUUUAUAUCAUCAAAUCAAAUAAUCUAAGAAAAAUUAAUUUUAUUAAAAAAAAAGAUUUAGCUUCUGUUUCAGCCGCAAUCCGAGUGCUUAUUCUACGUUAAAAAGAAAAGUAUAUGCUGUUAUUGGACCAUGAAGGCUCGGCCCACGGACGCCACAACAUCUUGUCUAGGGACCCGUUUCUUUCUUCUUCUUCUUCUUCUCUCUCUCUGAAGUUUCUAGCAUUCAACCACAACAGAAACCCUGCAGAGCCCCAACUCCUGAAACCUUUGACAAAAUUCUAACGGUAACUUAUUCUUUUCUUUUGCUCUUUCUAUGUUUCCUUGUGUUCAUCUGUUCAUUUAUUGUCUUUUAAGUUGUAGAUGGUCUGUUAUGGUUUAGUGUUUUGCUUUGUUUCUGGUUUUAUUGUUUGAAUAAACUUUUUUCUUUUUCUUUUUUCAGAAUUGUUAUUUGCUUUUGUUUUUUCUUUAAUUCUAAUUGUUAUGAGGAAAGGUCAUCAAAAGCUCAAAUGGUUUUAUCUUGAAGAUGAUUUUUUAGUCAAGAAUGCAAUUUUGUAAUGGCAAAUGAUUAUAAUUGGUAUCAUUAAUUGAUUUUGGUUUCUGGGUAUAUGUUUUGCAUAAAUUUCAAUAUUUAGGUUCCGUUUUAAAGAAGAUACUGUAGUUUUCAAGAUAGUUGAGAAACUGAGAACAUGAUAGACAUGAUCUUUCACUGCUAUGAAAAGGAUGAUCAUGCCGGAGUUCUUAGAGAAAAAGGUCGGAUUUUUACUCGAGGAAAAUGAAUUAUUUAUUUUUUUAAAAAAAAAAGUUUGGUUACUUGAAGUUAUUGAUUGGGAAGCUUUCAUACUGUUGGUUCUGAACUUGGGUGAAGCGCAAUUUUGAACUUUUUAAGUUUCUAUUUUCUGUAUGUUGAUUUUGGGUAUAUAGUUAGUCAGUUGCAUAGAGUACUGCUAUAUAACACAAAAAUAAGUUAGCGAAAAGUUCACAAGCAGAUAAAGUGGCCAGAGAAGUGAUUUCGUUCAACUUUUGGGCUAUUUAUUUUUUGUGCCUGUUCGUGUCCUAUUUGUUACAAAAUAUUCGUGUUAUACAGCUUUCUUCAAUUGGGUAAUUGAGAAGCUUGGUUGAGUUAAGUUGCUUCCUGGAUUUAAAAAGAAAUGGGGUGUCUUUUUUGAGUGGUUGUUUCCUUGAACCCAUAUAUAAGUGCAUUUAUAUUAGGCUUUUGUGAUUGCUUCUCAUGACUGUGUCAGAAUCAGAUUCAUCGGUUUGAUUGAGUAUAAUGUUGACAGAUUUUUGGCCAAAUGUCUAAUUUUUAUGAGGGGAAAUGGGAAUAUGAACAAAAACAAACCUUUCAUGUUGUUGAUUUACCACGCGGAGUACUUAAUCAGGUCUUAAGUUUCUGUCUUAGUAAGCAAAACAGCACUUAAUGGUAUGGCAGUGUUUCAAAUUGUUUGAUGGAGUCGGAUAUCAUACUGAAUUGCUUGUGCUAUGAGCUGCAUUAGAAGGAUGAUUAGUGAUCCCUUUGUAGGAAAACAAAUUGGGAUAUGAGCAAAUCUCAUAUGGUGGAGGACAGUCAUGCAAUGGAACAUCUGAACAAAAAUUUUGAAUUGUUUUAGUGGAGUUGAUUGAUUGGACAAUUUGUAGAACAAGGACUCCAGGUGGCAAAGGCAUUAAUUGGCAAAAAGAGAGAAAAGAAAAGGUGCACUUUUUUCUGAUGAAGAAAAAGAUGUCUCUAUUCACAACAGAAAAAAUCUCCUCUUUUUUUUUUUUCUGAUGAACCAAGCAAUUGCAAGCAGCUAGUAAUGAACAACAAACAAUACAGUAAUGAAGAAAUAGAUGUCUCUCUAUUCACAACAGAAAAACUCUCCUCUAGUGAAUUGUAUAAUCAUUGGAAUUAUAACAACGAAAAAAAACCUAUGUAAUGAGUUUAUAAAUAGAGUAGAGGCUCUUGAAUGAUUUUCUUCAUUCCUUUCUUUAUUUCUUUAUGCCUUACAUGUGUUUUCUGCAGAUUUGUGAUGGGUGGACUGCCUUUGCAAAAUGCUUCCCCUACCCCAGUUGUCAGCCAGGUGUCAGUAAUUACAAAUUCUACUAAAGAAUCAAAGCCCAAGAAGAAGAUCUGCUGUGCUUGCCCUGAAACUAAGAAACUAAGGGACGAAUGCAUUGUGGAGCAUGGUGAAGCUGCAUGCGCAAAAUGGAUUGAGGCUCAUCGACUGUGCCUCCGUGCUGAGGGCUUUAACAUUUGAGUUUGGUAGAUAUGGUUUAGUUCAUAAAUCAAUACCAUUUUGGAAUAUAGAAUACUUGUUUUGGAAUUACACAUACUGAAUAGGAGGAAUAAAGCUAGAAAACACAGGUUUUCUUGACCUUCUGUACUUGCAGUCAUUUUUAUCUUCUUGAAUUAUGAUUUCUUUCCUUCCUCUGUGACAAUUGAAAAUGAUCAGAAUCCUUGGGUGGGGUUGAUAUUGUGUUGUCUCUUCUCUUUGUCAGUGUUAUCUGAUUAUUUUUUGAACCUGUGAUUUUACAGGCAGAGGAAAGUUGUUCCUCUGAUGUAUUGCAUUCCUUACAUGCCAAUAACUCUCCCAUUUGUGAUUCCUUAUUUAAAUUCCAUUACGGUGUUAUGUAUUGUUCUGAACUUCUGAUGAUAGAUUAUAGACUCUCAUCUCGUACUUAUGCAAGCUUAUCCUCACAUGUUGAUUGUUAUCCUUACAAGUAGCAGUUGCUAAGGAUGAAGUGAAAAGUUAUAAUCUGAAGUGUAUUGUCCAGAAUUAGACAUUCUCAUCAACUUUGCUGCAACCUGAAUUAUCCUCUCUGUCACUUUUGAGCCAUUAUAUCUCCCUUGAACUCAAGUGAGCUUGUCGAAGGGCUGAGAAGCAACUCUGAGAGGAUAACUCUGGGUUAGAACGUCUAACUUGGACAAUGCAUCUUCAGACAAUAACAUCUCUUAUCUUCUUAUUUCAUCUUUGCAACUUCUAAUCACUGCAUGCCAGGCCAGUUCUAUCUUCUUUGUCAAUAUCGAGAACAGAUUCUCCUAGUUUUAUAACUCGCGAGUUCUAUCUUUUUUAUUCAUUGCUUCCUAUGCUAAUUGUCAUUUAGUUCAGAGAACAGAUUCUCCUUUUUUUUUUUUCCUUCCUUAUCUGUGUCCAUUGGCUAUAAAAUGGAAAAGGUAAAUAAGAAGAGAAAUCUAGACGUGUGAGUUCAAAGAGUUGGUUGACUGCAAGAAUUUCAAACUGGAAGACAUAUUAGGUCAUCUUUCAUGGUAUUUCAAAGCUUGUACACUACAUUUCAGAUUGUUUGCCAAAACUUCAGUGAUGAAACAGGAAAAUGGAAAAAACCCAGUCUUCUUCUCAUGUUUCUUUUACGUUUUAUGUUUGUAGUCUAGUGAUAAGUUUAUGCCCCUCCUUUAUGGUAUUUGCACUAUUUUGGUCGUUCUACAUGCUGCGGUUAAUUUUCGAUUCUAUUUGGUUUUUACUCAAAAUAAAAAAAUAAUAAUAAUAAUAACUAAACCAAAAGUUUUUAUUAUUUUAAAUUAAUAACCGAAACUGGUUCAAACUAGUUAUUUUAGUUCGGUUCAGUUAAUUGAAGGAAAAAACCGAUUUAAUAAAACUAUCGAGUGUUAAAUCCCCUGCUGCGAAUCACUUCAUUCUAAUCCAGAAAUAGCAUAUUAUCCCGAACGUAAAUAAUAGGAGUAAUAGCAUAAAAAGGAAGGAAAAAAAAACAUAUUUUCUCCCGAUGGAAGCGUAAGUUUCUUCAAUAGGCUUUGUCCAUUGCAGAAGUGUUCCACCAGCGUCCAACAAUAAUGCAUCAUAUGCUUUUUUAACAUACUUUAUUGCUCCUGUAAUGUAAUGAAACAAAGUGAACGAAUCUGAUCUAUUGAAAUAGUGUACGCAUUUAUAUAUAUGUACUAAUAAAUAAAUAAAUAAAUAAAGCACUAAGUAGAAAGGAAAAGUGACCAGACCAGCAGAGUGGAUGGCAAUGGAAGAAGAGCUUGAUAGCUUCAAUUUGAUAGGUUUCAGAGCUUUAAGCAAAUAGUUCCCAUGACAUUGGCCAAACGGGAAAUGGAGAUUUAGGAAUGGAAUUGAGCAAAAUAAAAGAAAGAUAUACCUUUAAAGAUUGCUAGAUACCUUUGUUUUUUCUCGAGACUUUGAACCUUAAAACUGGAGAAGACAAGAAACCAGAGAAGGGGAGAUGCGAGAACUGAGAUAGAGAGAAAACCUGGAGGAGGGCGGCGGCUGGGUUUGACUUGGCCUUUAGAGUUAGAAGAAAAGUUUAUAUUUAUACUGUUUUUCUUUCAGUGGUGGUUUUCUUGCUCACCCCUAAUUACCAUGUCGUGGAACAAAUUAGGAUAAGAGUUGUAUUGAUCUCAAAUAAGCUGAUGCCGUCGUACCAGAGAGCUCAUGAAGAAAAAAAUUGAGGAGUUCCAGUGAAGAUGAUACGCAGAAUAAUCUUGAAUUUAGAACAGUACUAGUUGGCAAAGAAGGAACAAAACUGAAAUGCAUGGUAAAUGAUUUAAAAUUGUGAGAAAGAAAUCGGGAUUCAAUGAUUUUGUUUUGAAUUUGAUGUUCUUAAUUCCUUUCUUCUUCCCCCGUGUCUCCAACCCAACGGUGUCUUGUUUCUGAGUAUGAAAGCAGGAUUCAAUGAUUUUGCUUUGAAUUUGCUGUAAUCAAAGCAAAAGAGGAACUGCUGGCUUGCCCUGAAACUAAGAAACUAAAACACGACAGCAUUUUGGAGAAUGGUGAAGCUGUUUGUGUGAAAUAGGUUAAGACUCAUUGUCCAGUGAGGACUUCAACAUUUGGCAAAUGAAUAUCACUUCGAGGAUAGAACAGAUACGAGGAAUAAAGCUAAAAACCGCAACUUUGCUUGACUUUUUCAUAUCUUCAAUCAUUUUUUCUUGGAACUCCACUAACAAUUGAAAAUGGCCAAAAUGCAUGAAUGAGGCCUUGAUACUGUGUUUGUCUCAUCUCUUUGUCGAUGCUUUAUUCUUGUCUGUACAUGUGAUUUAACAGGUAGACUAAAGCUCCUUUCUCCAAUGUAUUCCAUUCCUUAAGAUGCCAUUGAAGUCUUCCAUUCAUUUAUGAUUCCUUCUUCAUAUUCCUUAAUCAAUGGUGUUAGAUAUUGUUCUCAGCUUUUCUUACGAUGGUUAUUGACAAUUUAUCAUAAGGAGAUCUAAUGGCUGAAAAGCAAGUAACCAAGGAUGGAUAAUUAUUCUACACGCUACUAUAAAUUGAUCUAAAGGUCUUCAGACAGUAACCCUUUCCCCGAUUUCUUCUGUUCAUCUUUUACGACCACUAAUCAUUGCAUGCCUUGCUAGUUGUAUGAUCAAACAAUUGCUGGCCAGGUUACGUACUUUCUUGUGAUCCUUUUGAGUAUUCUCUUUCGCAAUCACUUGAACAUAUUGCUGGCCAUGCCGUUUCUCUUCGAGUUCAGAGAUCUCAGAUUAGAUUCUUCCAAUUUAACUUUCUUUUGCUUUUGGGUUUAUCUUUUAUGACUUCUCAUUGCUGCGUGACAUAUUUCUUGUGGAAUCUUUAAGUGUUGUGUGCAUUAGCAGAAAAUAAAAGGAAAAAAAUAAUCUUGACACGAUCCCAACGAAGAAGAGUUGAUUGCAAGAUUGUGGUCUGGGAAAAAAACUGAUUUCUUAAGCAAUAACGAUCUCAAAUUAACUUGCCUAAUUAUUGUAAUGCUAUCCGAUUGUAAUUCGCUGUGGUGAAGCUAUGCUUUCAUGCAUCAAAUUUUAUGCCAUUUGAUCACAGAGCAUACCGCUUGAUAGGCUAUGAACUCUAGAUUAAUAAAGUUCAGCAAUAUUCUUGCUCUGGUAGUCUAGGUCUACUUUAGCCAUGGAGACAAUAUAGUUGUGAAGUAAAUGAUUAGAAAGAUGAGAGAAGCAGAGUACUACACUAAUUAUAAGACUUCAUUAAAACCACACCAGAGGCCACAGACAUGGCCAAUACAUAACAAUGAAGAAGACACAAAGAUAAAGACACUCACGGACACUUUUGUUUGUUCACUCCACACCCACAAGUACAGAAGAACACAGAUUAUUUAUCAGAAAUUACAUUAUUAAUCCACUCCCAAUCCCACAUCAAACAUGAUAGUUGAUGUGCUUGCUUAAUGACCGCAUGUGCAGGUAGUGCAAGUGCAGCCAGUACCGCAGUUGCACUUGCCAUCGUUCUCAGCUGCUGGCACCUCCAUGACUACGGAGGAGACAUAGCUGCAAAAAGAAUUAGACUCCAUUGUAUUAGCAUCGUGUUCCCAUUUCCUUCAUUAUCAAUCUUAACUGACGAACCAAAAAUGUUUAGGAAUAAAGCAAUAUAUAUUAUUCAUUCUGCUUAUUAAUCAUCAGUGCAUGCUGAAGCUUCAAUCAUGUCUCUCAACGCUAAUUAAGACUACGACAACAGGACUUUAAAGAUAGAGAUGCGAAAGUUACUUCUUCUCAGUCUCGACGAUGCCAGCAGUGUAGCUGCUUCCCUUCUUGCUGCAAAUUAAUCACAAAUUGCAUGGCAUGAGAGAGCAGAUAGCAUAAUGUAUGCACGAAAGCCAUGCAGAAACAUGAACUACCUACUAUACAGCUUGCACAACAUAUAUAAACCAUAAACAAGCAAGAGCUGCUUAAUCAGGUUUGCAAAAGAAGGGGAAAAAAAGAAGAAGAAUUCUUACACACACUGGGUCUUGUCAGCGCAGUCGCAGGUGUCGCAGGUGCUAGACAUGAUGAUUGAUUGAUUAAGCUUAAAUGGAUGAACUAAAAGACUUGGAGUAUGAAUGUGUUCUCUGUGUAGCUUAAUGAGUUGUUAUAUCUUCAAGCCCUGCUCUAUUUAUAGAAGGAGAGAGCGCAUCAGUAAUGGCUGCGAUGAAGAGGAAGGGCAAUUGUGGGACCCUCUUAAGGCAUGAGAGAAGCACACUCUUCUCGAGGAAACGUCCGAAGGAAUCUUGA
rnacentral:lncRNA from 1 species